UUCUUUAUAUGUGAUAAUGGGCUUUACGAUUUUGAGGCAAAUAUAAACCCUAGAAACCCCAUUAGGUUUUUCUAUCGCCAUAUCCUUGUUUACUCCUCUUCUCAUUUCUACCUCAAAACUCCGCCGCUCUCUGUUCCGUUCUCUGAUCAAUGGUAGCUUUCCGCCUCCGAAUUGUCAUCUCCAGUAUCGUGAACUUUACCUAACUUUUUUCAAUAUCUGAAUUUUGUUUUUUUUCCUUCUUUUUUUUGUAGGCUCCAAAGAAGGCAGCUCCACCUCCAUCUUCCAAGCCUGCAAAGUCCGGUGGUGGCAAGCAGAAGAAGAAGGUCACCUACUAUUUGUUUUUUUUACUGUUUGAUUUUGAUGUGCGGUUAAUUUUGAAGGUAACUUAUGUAGAUUUGAAUUGUUGGAUUUUGCAGAAGUGGAGCAAGGGAAAGCAAAAGGAAAAGGUGAACAACAUGGUAUUGUUUGACAAGGCUACCUACGAUAAGCUCCUUUCUGAAGCGCCUAAAUACAAGCUUAUCACUCCUUCUGUCCUCUCCGACCGUCUCAGGGUAUGUUUCUGAUGUCUAUUUUAAUUUUAAAUCUGUGAUUUCUUUUUUUAAUUUCUGUUUCGUUUUGAAUAAUGUCUAUUCUGCAUUAGAUCUAUUGUCGUAUGUCUAUUUUAAUAAAGUUAAUAUAUUGUGGAAUCUGCCUUAGCAGUCAAGUGUAGAUGUUAGGUAUCAGGAACUCGAUUUGUGCCCUAAUGUUAACGUGGAAUGGUUCUCUUAUGAGACGUAUAUAAAGUAUAUUGCUUUGAUGAAUUAUACUGGUACAUUUGAUAAUACUGUGGAAACAGAAGGUAGUUAGUUGAGUUUAUUCUUUUAGCUUAAGAAGACAGAUAUGUUAUAUGAGUGUCAACUAUUACGAGUUUUAGAUAGUAGAGUGUUUGAAAUAAGUAUAAUUACCCAAUGUAUAUCUUGUAUUUAGUCUUCCUUGGAUCGCCAGAGAGUCUUAGAAAUUGUAAAUUCAAAGUUCAUUUUUUUGAUGCUUCUCUAGCAAAAUAGCAUGACAAUUUAGAUGUUUGGGUUUUGUCAUUGCUUUGAUGUUUAUCUUCUCAUUUGUUAGGGAAAAAACUAUCACUCAACUUGCAUUCCAGUUUCUAAGGAUUCCCUAUUGCUUGCGUAGCAGGGACUGUAGAAAGUCCAGUUGAACGGAAAUUGCCUGCUGGCAGAGAGGCCUAAUUAGUUAUGCAAUUCUUUAUUAACAAGAUGCAAAUAUCAACUAGCAUGAAGAGAUUGGCGAUCCUCAUUUAUCUUUUGGUCUUUGGUCUUUAUCCUGACCCGAUGAAAAAAUGGGAUCACUUCUUACGUACUCAUUGAGAAUGAUUAUGACUUAGUUCAUGGCAUAUUAUUUGUGUGCUUCCAUUGCCUGGCUUCUGGGGUUUCAAUUAGUAUCAUGAAGUGUUUCCACCAGUAUCACCUGUGCCUCUAAUAACGCAUAUUCCUAGUGUUAUUGGUUUCUGAGAUGUAGUGUUUGUGAAUCCUUUUUUCUGUUUCUGCUUGUCUAAAGCAUAUGUCAUGUAGAAUGAUGAACUAAUGUUCUGAUAGUGUGUUCUUCUUGUUGAGUUUAGUUUGCUGCAUUGUUAGUUUACUGAUUUACUUUGUAUGCUCGUGUGUUUCCUAAAUCAUAAAUUUUGUUCCUAAAAUUGUCUGUGGCUGAUGUUAUUAGUACUUGGUUGUAACUGGAAGUAAAAAAUGAUGCAAUCAAUAUGUUUGUAGGCUGGUAUGUCAUUGUAAUUUGUUAAUUUGUUCAUUUGAUUGAAUGUGCAGAUUAGUGGAUCACUUGCCAGGAAGGCAAUCAGAGAUUUGAUGGCCAGAGGCUCGAUCAGGAUGGUGUCUGCUCAUGCUAGCCAGCAGAUCUACACCCGGGCAACCAACACUUGAGAAAUGUUUAGUUCAUUUGCUUAUAGAGCUCUUGCAGGGCCUGCUUAUUUUAGACAUUCUCUAAGCUUAAUUUGAAAAUAUCAUGUCAUAGUAUGGGCUACGGCUACUUUGAGGAAUCGUUUUGAUGGUAGUUACUGUUUUGACUAUGUUUCAUGUUAGUUGGCUAUUUAUUGGAGUUAUUUAUCUCUUCUAACAUAUCUUUCAGUGUUAACAUUGUCAUUUCCUUACUGUCUCAAGAAUUCCAAAUGAAAAAUUUUCAUGUUCACUGGCUUCUGUCUAGCCAUUACUUUAAGCAACAAUAAUCCUUGUGAACGAUGAAAGGUGAUGUGGAAUGCCUCGGGCUAACUGUCUGAUCAAGGAGCCAGCAUGGUCCUGCGAGGGGUGAUCCGGUUCGAUAGAUGUUGAUCCUCUUUGUCUGCUAAAUGUAAGGUAUAAGAAGCGAUAGCUUUGAUUACAGUGAAUUCUUCCGCAUCCAGGAAAUAUAAGCGACUGACAACUCUGGGGAGAUAUAAAGCAAUGGCUUUUUAAAAAACAAGGGAAUGCGCGGCUAUUAUCCAUUUGUUUGAGGGCUCAACGACAUAUAUUUAGGAGGCAGGACAACUUUCUUGGUCUUAUAUCAUAUUAGGUGAAUCAGAAUUCAGAAGUGAAUUUUUCUUGCACUUCAUUUAAGCAAAAGCCAAAUCAAUCAUAUGAAUCUGGGAGUGGUGACAUAGUGCAACCCUGUUUGCAUUUCUCUUGAUUUUUGUCGUUCACUUAAUUUUUUCUGAUUUUCUAGGGGCAAAUAAACAAGGAAUUCCUUUUCCGGACAUUUUUCCCAUUAGUGAAAUGUAGACUAUUUUUAUAGGGUGGUGGUAAGACCGGCCAUGUUGUGUGGGACGAAGUGUUGGCCAGUUAAGAACUCUCAUAUUCAGAAGAUGAAGGUAGCUGAGAUGAGGAUGUUAAGGUGGAUGUGCGGGCACACUAGGAUUGAUAAGAUUAGGAAUGACGAUAUUCGGGAGAAGGUGGGUGUGGCCUCUGUGGAUGACAAGAUGCAGGAAGCAAGGUUCAGAUGGUUCGGGCACGUGCGGAGAAGAAGCUUGGAUAUCUGGUGAGGUGGUGUGAGCUACUUGCUUUAGUGGGUUCAAGAAGAGGUAGAGGACGAUCUAAGAAGUAUCGGGGAGAGGUGAUCAGGCAGGACCUGGCACGAUUGCAGAUUUCCGAGGACAUGACCCUUGAUAGAAGGUUUGGAGGUCGAGCAUUAGGGUUGUAGGAUAGGGUGAUAGUCGAGUUUCUCCUCCAUUCGCGGGGGUGAAGCGAGUUUGAGUAGGUUGGUCCUAGAUAGGCUUGUGGUUAAUGUAGAGUUCACACUAACUUUACUGUUUUGAGAGCUCUAUACCUUAGUUGUGGGUUAUGGUUGUUGCAUGUUAUUAUUUCAUGGUUUUUAGGAUGGUGUCAUUAUUUCUAUUGUUAUGUUGACGUUAUUGAUUUGUCUUUUCUUGUUUUCUUGUUUUAUUUCAUCUUCCCGAGCCGAGAGUCUAUCGGAAACAACCUUUUUGCCCUAUCAAAAUAGGAAUAAGGCCUGCGUACACCUUACCUUCCCCAGAUCCCACUUAGUGAGACUUUACUAGAUCGUUGUUGUUGAAAUGUGGACUAUAAACACAAUGGAGGAUUCUAUCUGCUGCUUGUAUGAUAAGACACUAUUCACAGUAGUAAUCAAAAACAUCAAUAGUCCAUCUUUUUCUUCCAGUUAUUGAAAUCCAGUCUGAGGCGCAGAAACAGUGUCUUUGUAACAAUGUCGGGGUAUGCUGUGAUGAUAGGUUACAUAUUUUAGUCGCUUAUUACUCUCGAGUUUACUGUACUUUAAUUGAGCUUGAGCUUUAACUGCUAGUAUUUUGCACUAAUUGUGUGUUUUAUGCCUUGUAGGUAUAAUUUCGAGCUAUAUAGAUGUUAUGGAAUAAAUUUAAGUGAUUUGAAGCUUUGAAGUCUGAGUAAAAGCUCAAGGAAUUAAGCCGGAAUCGUGUUCGGGGGUCAAAUUUGAUAGUUGAGAACAAACGAAGACUCGAUGAGGCAUGUUGCGCACUGUCUAGUAAAUUAGAUAUAACUUUUUGCUCGGAACUUCAUUUGAGCUCCACAAUAUAUGGUUGAAAAGCUAACUCAAAGGACUACAACUUUCAUGUUUUACGUUUUUCUAAAUUCCAAACGGAACAGGGUGAAAAACUACGGUUACGGUAGGACCGCAGCAAAAAAUCAGAGAGCUUGUCUGGCCAUGGUCCUACCGCGUUUUAGUCGCGGCCGCGCCGCUCUAGGCGUAAAAAAGAAGUCCUAUUUCGUCCGGGACAAGGUUAUUUCGGCCCUACACUAUUUUAACUUGUAUAAAAGGGGUCCUAAACCUAUUUUGAAAGAGGGGACAUAUUUUUGACAUAGAUUUGACCUAAGGAGGUAGAGACACAAUAGGAGCAAGGCUUGUGAAUUCUUCUACAAGUUUUUUCUUUUCCCUUCCUAUUUUCAUUGUUGGUUAUGACUUUUAAUAUUGUAGUUUUACAUACUAUUAUGAAUAGCUAAUUUNNNNNNNNNNNNNNNNNNNNNNNNNNNNNNNNNNNNNNNNNNNNNNNNNNNNNNNNNNNNNNNNNNNNNNNNNNNNNNNNNNNNNNNNNNNNNNNNNNNNNNNNNNNNNNNNNUAUGUUUUUAUAUAAUUGAGCCGUAGUAUAAUCUCUAUUUGUUCAACUACGUUCUAGUUGUAGUUAAUUGAAGAACUCUCAAUUACCUGUGCCUAUUUAGUAUGCAUAACUCGGGAGAGAGUGCAUAUUUAGGUAAUUGUUGAACAACACUACUCCCGGAGUAUAUGAGGGAUCAAUAACCGAGGGUUUAAAGGCCGGAUUAGGGAUAACGAAGCCUUGAGUGCAAUCUGAAGUGAGAUGUAUUAAAAUCCAACUAACGUAGCUCGGGAGAGUGCGUCUAGUAAAUUAUCGUGAUUACUCGGGAGAGAUUUACGGUAAUANNNNNNNNNNNNNNNNNNNNNNNNNNNNNNNNNNNNNNNNNNNNNNNNNNNNNNNNNNNNNNNNNNNNNNNNNNNNNNNNNNNNNNNNNNNNNNNNNNNNNNNNNNNNNNNNNNNUCUUAGGUGAAAUUAUAGAAGACAUAGCGGGAAGGAUUCCGACAAUUGGAAAAAUCAUAACUCUAAACCUCCUUAAACUUAUCUCUAACUCUUAGUAUAUUUAGUUGUUAAUUGAGUAUUUUAAUUUGUUAGUUAAUUAGUUAAACACAAUAAUCUAAAUAUUUAUAAGUCAGAAAUUGUUCAAGCUUGUUUUCUUGGUGAUAGUGAAUAACUGUAGCCAAACUUUAGUUCUCUGUGAGAUUCGAUUCCGGACUUGUAAACCAGAUUAUAUUUGCGAUGACCGCAUUAUCCUUUUAUAAGACAUAGUUGGACGUGAUCAUGCUGCAUAACAUUAGCUGGGAAGCACCUCAUGCGCGUUAAAGGCUUAUUGAAAUCUAUAGUUGAGCCACCAUUCGCUCACUGUAUGAACAUGCACUACUUUUACACUAGUGACUUUAAACGUAAAGAAACAAAAUGUUGAUAAGAAAGAGAUAAUAUAAGUCUUCAGUUUAGACCAACAGCAUAGAUUUAAUAUUCAAGUUUUCUUCAAGCAAUUGGCCAUGUUGCACUCACCAAAAAUCACAAGCUAUAAGCAAGUAGAGACAAUGCAAGAUGAUAACGAAAAUGAUGCAUGCUAUGAAAAGGGCCAGAGCAAUUGCAAACAACUAGUUUAGUGUCAGCAUGCAAAACAAACAAACAACCCAGUAUAAUCCCACUUAGUGGGGUCUGGGGAGGGUAGUGUGUACGCAGACCUUCCUCCUACCCUUGGAUAGAGAGACUGUUUCCAAAUAGACCCCCGACAUCCUUCCCUCCAAGAACUUCCCACCUUGUUCUUGGGGAAACUCGAACUCAUAACCUCUCGGUUGGAAGUGGGUUGCUUACCAUCAUAGCAACCCCUCUUUUCCGGUGUCAGCAUGCAGAUGACACUAAAACAUGGGAUAAAAAAAUGAGAACUUUUAAUCUAGUAAACAAAAUUUAUCUCCUUAUUGGUUAAUUCUCAAUCAACAAAAAAACAUUUUCUACCAGCUGACGAGAGGAGCAAGCAGUCACUCACUCAGAGUCUUCAACAAAGUAAAGCGUGGAUGGUUCAACUGUUCAUUGAACUGAAUCUUAGACCCUACAACGAAAAUUGCAUAGUGAUCUCAUCGCCUACUUUAGCACGUAAUUGCCACAUCAUCUAGAUCCCUCGCACACUGAUUUAAGCAGCCGGAUGAAUGGCCUGUUCAAGAAACAAGGUGUCUGGCAUUCUUAUCAUACUGGUUAAAUACAAAGAUAAUCCCAUCUAAGCAAACACUAGAAGCCAAAUCUAAGACAAGCUAUGUACUUAUUAGCACCAACAAAUCGAUACUAAGCUCCAAAAUGCAGUUGAUUGCAUGAUCACAAGUUAAGCCAGAGCACAUUUGUCCUCAUUAUUCAUAGCCUGACCAACAAGGGCAUCAGCAUUCUCGGUGGACUAACCUGAAGCACAGUAAACUCUUGCUGCUAUGUAGGUUCAGAAACUCCUGUGUUCCUCCAAACUACAUAGGGACCUCUGUUUUGGAAUUCACAUGGUUGAAAACCAGUUAAUGCCUUUCCCAUGAGGGCCAUGGCAGCAAUGCUUGGGAACUGCUUCUUCCGAAAAUCAUUAAUUUCCAACUUUGAGUCUCGAGACUUACAGACUACCACUGGUUGAGGCCUCUUUUGUGCAGUAGCAUUCCUAUUAUGAAGCCACCUUCGCAUCCAAGACUGUGAAAUCAAUAACUCUAAAUUUUUCUUCAUAACAUUUGCAGAUGAAGAGACACUGUUGCUAGCUAAGGCUGGAGUUUUAUCAAGAGCCAUCAAUUCUUCACCAUGGAGUUUACCAGCUGUGAGUUCUGAGCCGCUUAUAGUAACUUUAGUAAUUUUGCUUAGAAAUUUGUUUGCUUUCUCAUGAGAUGUAUUCCCUGCAAGGUUAGCGCUUUUUGUUCCAACAGAAAAUGAGCCAGAAGCACUAAUUUUGAGGCGCUUGACCCAUCUGCCACCUGGUUCCUGUUCAAGCAGAACGACAGGGGAGAAAUCUGCUUUCAAUGAACUUGGCUGCUCAUUAUGACCAAGGAGUGAUCUCAAAUCCAGACUUUGAGUUGUGGAAGAAGUUGGCUCCAACUUAUCAAUCGGAGCAGGAGGCUCCAAGUUCAUGUCAGGUAUAAUGUUUUUACAUCCAAUUUCUUUUCUGGGACGGCGAAGUGCAAGAUGAGUAGGUGCAUUUUGCUCCAUUUCAUUCUCCUGCAAGAUAUCAUAGGGUCAACAUCGAAACGGACUUAUUAUUGCUUGAGCUCUUACUCUACUCAAUAGGUCAAACGUGAAACCGGCCAACAGCACCAUUUUCAAGAGUACAGUUUUGUUGAAACAUUUGGAGUUACACUAAGAAGAUCACAGAAGAUAUGCCAGUUUUUCUCGCAUUGUACAAGGAAUAAGAGUGAGAAUACCAGCUAGAGCAACUCAGUUUCCUCAAAAUGUUGUAUGGUUUAGCUUAUCAAACAAUAACUGCAGCCAACUUUUAAAACUCAUUUCCCAUAUAUACGUGGUAUUUAUCAGGUAGAUUGGUUGCUCUGAUGGUAAGCAACCUCCACUUCCAACCGAGAGGUUAUGAGUUCGAGUCUCCCCACCAAUUUAGAAUUUAGAUAAGGUAAAAACAAGAGGGGCUUGCUCUGAUGGUAAGCAACCCCCAAUUCCAACCGAGAGGUUGAGAGUUCGAGUCUCCCCAAGAGCAAAGGUGGGUAGUUCUUGGAGGGAAGAAUGUCGAAGGUCUAUUUUGGAAACAGCCUCUCUACCCCAGGGUAGGGGUAAGGUCUGCAUACACACUACCCUUCCCAGACCCCACUAAGUGGGAUUAUUGAUGAUGAUUUAGACAAUAGGGGUUGCUCCCCCACUUCCGACCGAGAGGUUGUGAGUUCGAGUCUCCCCAAGAGCAAGUGGGAAGUUCUUGGAAGAAAGGAUGCCGGGGUUCUAUUUGGAAACAGCCUCUCUACGCAAGGGUAGGGGUAAGGUCUGCGUAUAUACUACCCUUCCCAGACCCCACUAAGUCGGAUUAUACUGGGUUUUCGUUGUUGUUGUAUCGGACGAAUCGGGAGUUCCUAUUGAUAAACUGAAGAUACCUUGAUAUCAUAAAUAUGACUACUUUUACAUUAACCACCAACAUAAAGAAGAAAUUAGAAUGUUCAAGGGUCAGUGAGAAUACCUGCUUUAGUGGGGAAGAAGUCAUACCUGCAAAAGUCAUAAGAAACGCACAUUAGUUAAACAAGUAAAAAUCAGUGUAGAAACAAUAUAUACGAGACUAAAGCUUAGAAAGAUCUUUCUUUUUUUUUCUCCGUUUGGUAGGUUAGAUUUUAAGAGACCAUGACCGGAACAAAUUUUAAUGAAGAUUUUUGCACCAGUUUUACAUUAGUAAAGUGCUUUAAUCAAGACCUUUUAGACAUAGUUCAGACCAGUACAUACCACAAAAAUGAUUCUUUUCCUAAAAUACAUCCAGUUUCAGGGUAUCAGUUUCAGCUGAACAAUUCAUUCUUCAACAUUACUUCAGAAGGCUUACUGUCUUCGGUAUUUUUCUUUUCCUUCACUAGCUGCGGAACUUUCCAGCAGAUUGUAUCUUCGGUUUUUUUAUAGAGAUUGGCUGUCAUGAUCCAUAAAAUUCACUCCAUGUCCUUGAUGUACCAAUGACUUCUCUUUCUUCAAAAUGAUUAGCAUCAGUCUAAUUCAUGAUUAGAUAACUGUGGUUGUCUGAGAAAUGCAGAUAUAAUAUCCAGUCAAUUCCGUUACAGAGUCCAACUGUCCAAAGGAGUGCCCAUUCUCAUUAUCUCUACAUCAUGCAUGGAAUAUGAUAGUUUUUGUGAAUGGUACAACUUAAGUCUUUUGAUUUGGUUACCUGGGAAGGACUACAUUCACUCACGAACAAUCCAAUACCACAACGACCUGGUACUCUGCGGAACUGUUCUUCAUCAAAAUCUGGGAGAUGUUUGCUGCUUGUAGAGUGUGCAUUUUGCAAGAAUGUAUCACUCUGCCUCAACGAAUUUUUCCAAAUUUGUAGGAUUCCAAAAUGUAGCUUCAAGAUUAGUAUGACAAUCUGAAGAUGAAGUUUCACUUGCAAACUAAGGUAUUGGAAAAGGUGAGCAACUUCUCCUUGUGGAAAAUGCAACCAUACCAGAGCCAUAGUUGGGGUCAAGUUGAGGCCUUAAUGCUAGAAUGCCACAAGUUUCCUGGCCCAUUUUAAGAGAUGAAUUGCUUUAGCCAUUUCUAUGUGGAUAACUACAUAAAGAUGGAAACUCGGAAAGGACACUCAAAGAGUUAACUAGAUAAGUAUUGAGUUGAAGGCUACAGAACAACUGAUCCUAAACAAUGUUGGAAUCGAUUAUAUGAAUCCUCUGUAACUAUUCCACUCUAUUCAAGACCACUUAUAAUGUAGCAACAAUGUAAAUAAAGAGAAGUCAUAUCUCCUUAAAAUUCCAAGCAACUGUUGAACGCGCAUUUCAAUGAAAACACGGAGCCCAGGCCAGAAAGAAAGAAACAUGAUGUUGAUCCUCAUGACAAAUGGAAAGAACGAGUUAUUUACGGGCUAAAUGCAACGAGUAAAAUAUAACCUCAUAUUCAGAGAUAGCAUACAUGUCAACAACCAAUAGAAAAUUCUAGGAUACCUAUAACAUAAAACACUGCAAACAACUCCAAUUUGCACAAUUGGUAACAAUUAUAAAUAUCACCGAGAUUCAAAGACUCAAAAAAUAUACUUUCCACCAUCCUUUGCAAAAGAAUGAUACUUUCACUAUUAGUCUAUGUUGCUCAGACUCUCCAAAAAUGUCGGCGGGUACGUGUCGAAUCCUCCAAAAGUAGUGCAUUUUGGAGGUCCGACACGGGCACAAAAGCAUUUUGGAGAGUCCGUGCAACAUAGCUAUUAGUCUGAGCCACGUGUUACAUUGGCACACGAGGUGUGAUGGAAGUCAUCAAUUGGCUGAAACGAGCUUAAAUAGAGUGACAAAACAUUAAGGAUUCAUACAAUCUGACCCCAACUUGCGCGAAAUUUGAUUUGGAUAGUAGUUGUUGUAGCACAUCAAACUUUUUCAAGAAAAUUUCAAGUUAUGAAAAAUUGCUCACUGAUUUCUGGUACUUCUAUAUAUUUUCUACAUGGAAAAUUUUCUUUUCAACCAAGAAAUGAAAGAUGAAAUCAUUGGUACACGAUAAAGUGCAUAUACAUAUACAUUUGGAGCUAAGCCAGCUCGCAGCUACUCUUAACAUGAUGUGACCAAAAUCGCACGAUUUUUCGCAAAAGACCUCACAUAAAUUCCUAAUCUUUUCAGCUACCAAUGGAAUUUUAUUCACACCUACCAAUAUAUACAUAGAAGCGAGAAAAUUAAACUUCAAAAUGAACUCACCUAGAAAGAAUUUUUAGGUUGAAACUUGAAACAGAAGGAAACCUCAGAGCUCUGCACAGCUAUGUGACAGAACAAUUGAACUUCCUUUUUUUGCUGAAGAAAAUUGAACUCUGCAGUGGUCAAAUCGUGGACUCGUGAUUUGUGUAUAGGAGAGAGAGAAUUUUUGGGUACUAAAUUUUUUUUCUCUCUAAAUUUUUACGUAGAAGAUUAUUUGACAGGGUAUAUAUAGCCAUCGUUUUAGUAAAGGAGCAGAACAGAAAAUAGUAAAGAGGAGUUUGAAGCAAAGACCAAAUGAUUUGAGAGAGAGAGAGAGAGAGAGAGUAUUUUGGUCCAGGCUUCGAGGCCUCCAGCUCAAGCUGCCUCAUAUCAGCUUAAUUUUAGUAUUUUAUUUUCAACUUGAGGGAAACAUCUCUACCUAAUUUCAGGAAAUUAUUUAUAUGCAUAAACAUUUAAACCAAUGGCCUAGCGUUUAUGCAACUAAAAUAGGAGAAAUUUAAAAAUAGCUAAAUUUAUAAGUGGUCAUUUAAAAUAGACACAGUUUUAAAAGUGAUUGAAAUUUAGAAUUUUUUAUGUAAAGAUAAAUUUGAACGAAAAUACUAUUCAAAAUCCGAAAAAAUACUCCAGCAUAAUAUACUAGAGUUUCAGUAUAAUAUAUCGGUCCAAUAUAAUAUACUGGAGUUUGGAGCAUCGGUGCUCCAGUCUGCAGUAUAUUAUACUGGAGCCAACAAAGUAUGUCGGUCCAGCAUAAUAUGCUGGAAGUUUAUACACAGUUGCAUCGAACUCCAGUAUAUUAUUCUGGACCGGUCUCUGUUGCAGCAAAAUAGUGGCUAUUUUUCAAUGACUUGGCAAACGCUCGCUAUGUUUAAAUGACCAGUCCGAAAACUGGCUAGACCAUUUUAACACUAAAAUCUAACUCAACCUAGAAGUGUCAAUGGGCGAGUCGGGUCGGUUUUGAGUUGGUCAAACUAUGUUGAGUUAAUAAAUAAGCGGAUCAAAAGUUAUUUGGGUAUAGAUGAGCUGGGUAAUAGGAAGAUGUGUUUCUUGAACGAACAAGAUACAGGUUGAGAAGGGGGAGUUAGCAAAGUUAGACAAGAUUGGAAUGGGCAUAGGAAUAUGUAUUGAUAUACCAGAUCGGCUAAUGCUCCCAGGUUGAUGCAAUGUUCUUACCACAAGCUUUUAAUAAUAUGAUCGUGAUCUGUCAUUACGUGCGACUACCUCCACUAUAAAAUUAAAAAAGAAUCUAGUAAAGUAACUACAAUAACCAAAUAUGUUAAGUAAGGGGGGAAGAAAGCAUUCGAAGUGGUCUAUGGUAAGAGGAUUAACAAUAAUGGGGAAGCGCAGCGAUCAAAGCUUUGGUUUAGGGUCCACUUGGUUUAAACGAAAGAAGUGCUUUCUAACGAUUCAGUUCCUAGAGGGUUAUCUCGUACAAAUUCACUUCCAGUUAGGCAGGUUAAUUUGCCCCCCACCCCCCUCCUCUCUCCAAUUCUCAUUUUCUUUGAUGAGCACCCAACUCUUACCUAAGCUUUAAUUUAUCCAUAUUAUUUUCGUAAGAAUUGUAUAAUUACUAAAUUAUUUUCUUCUUCUUUUGUUAUGGUUAUAAACAUAUCAAGUAAAAAAAUAUUUUAAAGAUAUUUUAGCAAAAUUAUUCAUGGAUCAUUUUAAGUUAAAAUCAACCUAACUUUAAAUAGGUUAAAAUAUGUUAGGUCAAGAUGAAUUGAAUUCAAUAAAUAAAUAGGUCUAUAACUAGCCAAACUUUAAAUAGGUUGGACAAAUCAUUUGGACAUGGGUCAAAUUUAAUAGCCCUGACUCAAUCUUACUCCAAAUAUCUUGUACAACUAGUAUUUAUACUAACUCAAAAAAGUCAUGUUUUCCGCAUUUUACAAGCUGUGGAUAAUGUUUUAAAGAUAUUUUACUAGAACGAAAAUAUUUGGAAUUCUGUCCUCCAUAAUUUAUGUACAGUGAUUAAGUUUAAACAAAGGUAUAUCUGUUCUUUCUUUCCUAAUUUUUCUAAAGCCAAAUUAUUGUUUUUGCGAUUUUCUUUUGAUUUUUCACUCGGUGUUCAGUAUUUUUAUAGAAUCUAAUUAUAUUUGGAUUUACGCCGUAUAGGGUCCCUUUUGGGGGAAGCAUUUUCUAUCAAAUUUUCUUCUAUAUCUAAAGUUCUAUCCCAAGAUCUCUAAUUAAAAAAAAUAGUUCCAUCCAUUGUACCGUAUCAUUUAGUAUGGUUUGUUUUUGCGAUUUGGUAUGAGCAGAAAUAUCUCUCUUUUCUCUAGAAUUUUCAAAAUAUCUUGUAUACAAGUUGGCUGCCAGCCUCAGCCAAUCAUGAGUGGAGAUACAUAUGGGCAGACAGGGAAUGGCACAGAUAUAUCUGCUCAGUACAGAAAUUCCAUAUGUAUUGGAAUUCGGCAUUAUCAAAUGUACACAACAAAAUAGUUUGUCCCGAAUUGGUGGCACUUUUCGAAUUCGGAGAGCAGUUUUCUUUAAUUAUGAUUUUUAUGUACUUUUUAGAUAUAAUUUUAUUAGUAAGGUCCGAAAAUUUUUUUUCUAUUGAACUCACAAUCUCUUAAUUAAAAGUACAAAAUUUUGUCCAAAUAUGGGAGAAUUGAAUUUCUUGAUUAUUAUUAUUUAUUUAAAUUGUAAGUGACCGCAAAAUAUCUAUUUCUCAUAUUAAUAUUUUUAUGUCCAAAAUUUUACACUAUUUAAAUAAUUUAAGUUUGAAUUUUUUGUCUGUGUGUUUGUGCUGAUGUUCCGGCUGACUAGUGACAAUAGUCAUGACUCAGCUGGCUUGGCAUAAAACUAUGGUAGGGUCAGUACUAAAAUGAAAUAGAGAGUAACACGAAAAUUUUAUUUUAUGUCUUAUACAAUUUAUGUUAGUUGUAGGAGAUAAUUUUUUAUCUCAUAAUUUUAUAGAUCCCGAUUAUUAUAGAUUCAAAAAUAUAAAAUUGAAAUAUAUAAUUUUGUGAGACAUAAAGGAGUUUCAUACGAUUAAUGUCAAAGAUAACAUGGAAAAUAAUUAAUGACUUAACGAGAGAGCAACACGUGUAAUAUUGUUUCAUUGGCAAGUUUGAAGGCCACGAACUUACUCUUUCUACCGCUACCAAAUUUCUGCCAAGUGUGUGCUUCCUCUUUCUCCACGCCUAUCAUUCCAUAUUUCCAUUCCCUUUUCUUAUUCUUUUUCUCAUGUCAAAUCUCAACAGCAAUUACCACUUCACUUUUUCAUUUAAAAAUAAAAUAAAAUAAUCUGGUAUAUGAAGUAUUUUAUAUUUACAUAAGGUUCGAAAAAAAUUACAUCCUAAACAGUAAGAUGUAGAUAUUUUAUUCUAAUAUAAAUAUCAAUAAUUAAUUUUGUAGCUCAAAUUCGUAACUAUAAGCCACACAGAAACAACUUUAAAGUUGCUCCAAAAUUCCCUUUUAUUUAUCCAAAUAAAUUUAAAAAAUUAUAUUUGUAGAUGGCGCCUUAAACUUAGUACAUACUAGUAUGAUUUUUCAUUUUCGACAUUCAUACUUUAAUAAGGAUUUCUUCCACAUUUUAUGUUGUUAGAAGCAUAUCGUAAAUAUUUUUUAGUAAUCGUAACAUUAUAGUUAAUUUGUAAGUAUUUUAAUUAAUUCCACAAAAUACUUGGCAUCUCCGGCCAGAAAUGUAUCGUACGUAUUUCCAUUUGUUGUUGACAUGUCAAAUGAAUGAGCGACUCGAAAGCAAGAAAAUCUAUGAUUAAGGGUCGAAGAUAUGUGAUUAUAUAAUGAGAUUCUAUUCGGCAAUAAUUGAAGACGACAGAUUUGAACAAGUUAUAAACUUUUUUCCUGUGUCAAAUACUAACACAAUGAUUAUGCAUUUUGUGUUUCAAAUAUGAAAUAUACCAAUUUAGCUAAAUAAAUAUAAUUCGUAUAACUUAAAAUAUAUUUGGGUGUUGUAUCAAAUGAUCCAUAUGACAUCCCAUAGGGAAUGUCUUCGCAAUGAAGUUCAAUACAUGUAGCUAUUGUUUUUUCUAAGUUAAUAAAGGAUGUGGUUAUGUUAUUGCCAAAUUGAAGAGGUAUGAUGUUGGUUCCCAAGUACACGUAAGUAUAUAUGGUUGUCAAUUAAUAAAGUGACUUGAAAGUCGGAUGUCGAACCCACAAAGUCGUAAUCCAAUUUAUCUAUGAUUGCUAACUAAUCAGAUCAUUUAUAUGAAUAGCAUGUUUUCACAAUACUACUUGCAUGUCGACAAUAUAUCAAUUUUAUAUUCCUAUUAUACGAAGUCUAUUAUGAACAAAUAUAAUAAGGUAUUUGACUAAUCAAGACCAUUAGGUAUAUUACUAUAUUCUAACCGCGAAAUCUUUUCCUGUAUCAUGAAUUCAGAAACAAGCACUUUUUAAUUCUACGAAAAGGGCCAGAUUUAUCGCUGAACUAUUCGUUUUGGUACAAUAAUACCCUCCAUCCACCUAUUGGGCCAAAUAUGCCAUUUUGUUAAAGUUUUUGGCUCACAAAUGCCAUUUGAGUUAACGGAGGGACAUGUGUCAUCGUCCUGUUGGCCAAUUCUAAAUAUUUCUUAAUUAAUUAAAAAACCGUUAUUCAUAACCAAAAAAUAAUUUUCUAAAGCAAUUUUUCUAAAUGACGAUCAAGUAAAAAAAAAGUGUUAGAAAAAUUGCUUUAGAAAAUUAUUUUUCGGAUAUGAAUAAUGGGUCUUUUCAAUUAAUUAAGAAAUAUUUAGAAUGUGCCAACAUGACGAUGACACGUGUCGCCCCGUUAACUCAACGGGCAAUUGUGAGACCAAAACAUUAACGGAAGAAAAUAUUUGGCCCAAUAGGUGGAUGAAGGAUAUUAUUGUACCAAAAUGAAUAGUUCAGGGGAAAAUCUGGCCCGUUUCCGUUAAUUCUAUUCUAAUAUAAACAUGGCUUCCCCAAAUAUAACAUAGAUAGUAGGGUGAAUUGGUAGCUACAACAAUUCACAAGUUAAAACUAGAUAAAGAAACAACCACAAGAUGAUAAUCCGAAUUAACAUAAAUGUAAUUAAUAAACGUUAAUAAUCACGUCAACCACAACCCUAGAAACUAGAGUGCUUAGCCACUCAGGUUCAUAGUAAUAAUUUUUUAAGUAUUUUGCAUAAACAAAUUACAAAGAAAAGAUGAAGGAAUGAAGAACUCAAUGACUUUCUCCUCCAAAAGUUGUUCCACGUGAUGUUCUUGCCUCCAAGUAAUGUUCCCAAAGUCUUCUCUCCUUCCAAAGUAGUGUCUCCUACGUAAAAGCACGCUUUCUUGAUAUAUUUAUAGUGGCUAAAGUUUGUUGGGGUGAAUUGGGAUUCUCCUAAUUCGGCUGGAGAAGCUGAAAUUUUCUGUUCGGUCCUCAAUCUAGCGAAGUGACCCUCGUUUUGCUGUCCAGAACUUUUUCGAUCUCUUCUGCUCCGAUCUCGAACUUGCGAAGUGACCCUCGCUUCGUUGUUCGGGAUUUUUUUGGUCUCUUCUGCACCGGUCUUAGUCUCACAAAGUGACCCUCGCUUUGCUGUCCGGGACCUGGGCACCAAACUUAUAUUUUUUUUCAGAUUUUUCCUUGUUUUACUUCACUUUGCAUGAAAACUUUCCAAAUCAUUUCCAAUGGACUCCUAUACAUAUAAAUAAUAUUAUUAUGUUCGAUUCACAAACAUUCAUACAAUAAUUAACAAGAUCGAGGUAUAAUGCAAGGACAAAUUACAUGCAAAAAUAUAAAUUAGUCAAACAUCAUACGAACUACUAAGUACGUACUUGUAACUUUUAUUUAUUUAAUGGACAUAUUUAUUGAAUAAAAAGUAUUUAAGAGUUAUUACAUAGAGAGAUUAGCUAGCCUGGACAAUAUAGCACUCACACUGUAUCAUUAAAAAAACAGGAACAAAAGUAGGUGGUACUGGAACAUGAUAGAGCAUUAAGCUUUCAAAAAUAUCUAGAGUGCUUUAAUUUUUGGUAGCAGGCCCGCAACUCCAUUUGCUUCUCUCAACUUUGUGAUUUCGUAGUAGUUUUGACUAAGUGACUUGGUAUUAUUGUGGAAUAUACUCUUCAGUGAAUGAAGAUUUAGAAUCCGUUCAUUUCUGAGGUUGUUUGGUUCAUAAAUUAGUUAUACACAUGUUAUAAUACAUAUUAUAUUAUUAUAGCAUGAUCUUAGUUCAAACAGUUAUAAGUUUCAAUUGAUCGAUUUCACUAGUAAUAUACUUUCUUCAACAUGCGCAAAUAGCGAUACCAGUUUUAAUGAUGGGAACGAUCAUUCAUCUAGUUUCAUCUCUAUCCUAAAUAGUUUAAUGGUCAAGAUGUCAAAACUUGAACCUAGCUAAUAUCAUUAGUUAGAAUCUGAGUAGUUUUUCUAAGGUGCAUGUAUGGUUCAGAAUCUGACCCCUGAUAAUUAACGAAAUUAAUUAUAUCUUAAACUAAUUCUUGGCUAAUGAGUGGUAUGACCAUUUAUUAGUUACUAUACUUGAUGGUUAUCCGGCUCGAUCAAUAAGGCCACGGCCCAUCCACCAUCAUAAGGAUGGAACCUCAAAGUGGUCACGACCGUUCAUCUCUAGCUCAUACAGCUUACAACUAUAAAUACUAAGAGAAGUAACCCUAAAAGGGAGGCUUCUUCUUUCUUCAUUACUAUUCCCAAGAAAAGGGGAACAUCAUUGCAAGGCUCUGAACCUCUCAAUGGAGAGGCAGACCAAAUCAAUAUUAUCAAUAAAAUCUCUUUACACAUUUCUCCUUAAGGCAAAACUCUUUCUUUUCGUUUCUUUCACUUGGUCCCUUGAUUUAUUACGAUCUGCUAUGAUUGACCCUUGAUUUAUUUUGAUUAUUUUAUGCUUGUAAAGCGUAUAAUAAGUUUCAGCUAAACAAUUUGGCGCCGUUUGUGUGAAUUUUAUAGCAGAAUCGCGUAGUCCUUCCCCGGACCAAAAGGAAAGAAACGCCACAGAACAAACAUCCUCAAACAAGAUAGAGCGGUAUAUCGGAUAAAGGGAACUCGAAGAUCUUGAAUCGAGAUCCCACUCCUCUAUCACUCCUCUCUCGGAUAGUGCAAGCAAGAAGCAAGAAGCUGGAGCGGCCCCUUCCCCCAGAGGGAGGAUCUCUGUAAGGCAUCUCCCGCAUCCCUGAUACGGGAUCCAGCCGGAAAUCGACAUGAAGAUACCUCGAACCGAGAGUCACCUCAAGCCAGCCUACAUACCCCAAUUGGAAAGUUAGCGCAUGAGCUGCUCAAGAUCUCGAAUCAUAACCGAGCUUCAGCUCCCAAACACCGAUAUAAUGCUAUAUGCCUCUGCCAACAAGAUCAACCAUGGUUGACCAAGACUGGCCAUGUGCCUUCGCCAUCAAACAUUACAAGUUCAACUACAAGCUGAACUGGGACUCAGGCUAUGCGCCUUCCCCAUAAAACAUUACAAGUUCAACUACAAGUUGAACUGGGACUCAGGCUAUGCGCCUUCUCCAUCAAACAUUACAAGUUCAAUUACUAGUUGAACUGGGACUCAAGCUAUACGCUUUCGCCAUCAAACAUUACAAGUUCAACUACAAGCUGAACCGGGACUCAGGCUAUACGCCUUCGCCAUCAAACAUUACAAGUUAACCUACAAGUUGAACUGGGACUCAGGAUAUGCGCCUUUGCCAUCAAACAUUAUAAGUUCAACUACAAGUUGAAGUAGGACUCAGGCUAUGCGCCUUUGCCAUCAAACAUUACAAGUUCAAUUACAAUUUGAACUGGGACUCAUGCUAUGCGCCUUUGCCAACAAAAAUACAAGUUCAACUGCAAGUUGAACUGAGACUUAGGCUAUGUGCCUUCUCCAACAAAAAUUACAAGUUCAACUACAAGUUGAACAAGGACUCAGGCUAUGCGCCUUUGCCAUCAAACAUUACAAGUUUAACUACAAGCUGAACUGGGACUCAGGCUAUGCGCCUUCUCCAACAAAAAUUACAAGUUCAACUACAAGCUGAACUGGGACUCAGGCUAUGCACCUUCGCCAUCAGACAUUACAAGUUCAACUACAAGUUGAACUGGGACUUAGGCUAUGCCCCUUCACCAUCAAAUAUUACAAGUUCAACUGGGACUCAGGCUACGCGCCUUUGCCAUCAAACAUUACAAGUUCAACUAGGACUCAGGCUAUGCGCCUUCGCCACCAAAAAUUACAAGUUCAACUACAUGUUGAACUAGGACUCAGGCUAUGUGCCUUCGCCAUCAAACAUUACAAGUUCAACUACAAGUUAAACUGGGACUCAGUCUAUGCGCCUUCGCCAUCAAACAUUACAAGACUCAGGCUAUGUGCCUUCUCCAUCAAACAUUACAAGUUCAACUACAAGUUGAACUGGGACUCAGGAUAUGCGCCUUCGCCAACAAAAAUUACAAGUUCAAUUACAAACUGAAUUGGCACUCAGGCUAUGCGCCUUCGCUAUCAAACAUUACAAGUUCAACUACAAGUUGAACUGGGACUCAAGCUAUGCGCCUUCGCCAUAAAAAAUAGUUCAACUACGGUUGAACCAAGACUCGGGCCGCGCACCUUCACCAUUAAAUCCAACAAGUUCGAUAUUGAUCGAGCCAUGAGGUUAGACGCCUUCGUCCUUAAAUCUAACGACUCAGGCCAAAAACCUUCCUUAUCGAACUCGGCAAAACCCGGCCUACAGCAAAUAGGGGCGCAGUUCAAGCAUCCUCGCCAUUCUAGUUAGUACUCCCAACUCGAACUACGAUUGGGGCCACAUAAAGUUCGGCCCCGGUCAAACUACAAGGCCGCAUUUUUACUAUCACGGUUGGUAGUUCAAUCGCGCUCGAACUGGGACUAAGUCUAAGUGCCGCUAUUGCCAAAUAACGGCUACAACUCGUCCACACCGAGUUGAAGAAGCAAGACUGUUAACGACCAAAAAUCAACGUGCCUACCAGAGUCAUACUCUAAGGCAAAUCACCCUUGAGCACACUGAAAAAUCUAAAGGAAAAAAAUGGAAAAACACAAAAUAAGCACAAGACCAGUAAUGGAAAAAGUAAGCUUAUAAAUAUAUAUAUUUACUAAGUCAUGUGCGGGAAACGCCCGCUUACACUCGGCCAGGGACGAUUAGUACGAUGAAAAGAAAAAAGAAAAACCUAAAGAUAUCCAAACUCUAAAUGGCGAACAAAAUAAAAAUACAUCAAAUUUAUUCACUCAGCGUCACCCACGCCACCAUCAGCACCAUCAUCAGCCCCCAGCGUUGCUGGGUCGAAACCACAGUUAAUACGGGCUUUACGAGUCCUCUGACGGGCUGCCUCAAAAGCAGCUUCAGGCAUGAUGCCAUCCUCCCAAAAGCUCUUAUGUACAUCACGUUGGGCCUCGGCAAACGUCCAGAGCUCACGAGCCUGGUUGGAAGAGCCGGCCUAGUCCCAUAGGAGCUGAUUCUACCCCUUCAAGGCUGCGAUCUGAUCUUCCAUGGCUUGGGCAUCCCGCUCAUAUUGGUCCUCUAGCCCCACCUCUCUAAAGGCUGCGACAGCUCUCUCCAUGGUACGCUCCCUCUCAUGGACGCGGAUCGCCGCCUCCAAUGCCCCAGCUCUCGAUGAGGCAUCCCUUGCUUGUAGCCUCAAAGCGGAAACCUCAUUAUCCAAAGCUACCACCUUCCUGUUCAAGGUCAUAGAAGCCUCAGCCGCCAUAGGCUAAUUCUGGCGCUCCCUUUCAACUACAACCCUCCUUUUCCCUCGAUCUCCUCAUCUUUUUGACGAAGCUUCUCCUCGAGGGCACAUACCGUGUCAAGUGUCUGCUGCAUUUGAAGCUCUUACCUUGCCAGCUCCUCGACCAAGGCACGGCUUCGGGGGUCGUUCCUCAGGCGCUCGCGCAUCUCACGACACCAAUUUCGGUUGCGGCUGUACUUCUCCAACGCCCGCAAAAAGAUCUCUCUGCGGACGUUGGCUCGAAGGAUGCCCUCUACCUCCAACAUAUAAGACUAAAAAGCAAAGACAACGAUUAAAUUAAAAAUAAACUAAAACAAGAAGAAAGCAGAAGAGGGUCAUCAUACGUAACCUAAGGCCCAUCAUGGCCACUCGUUCAUCAAUCCGACGUCUGUAACGUCCCUUAGCAGUGUGAUUUUGGCCUCCGAGCAUAACACCUUGAACAACAGCACCAAGCUAUUCCCUUGAAGCAACAAGUUCUGUUGUGUGGGAAUCUCGAUGUAAGCGAAGCCGCCCCUCCGCACGCACCGUCAAGCUGGUGAAGCCUUCAUGGAAUGAACGGAUGUCCUUUAGGUCCAAGUCAGACUCGGACUCGUAUUCACCUCCUGCAAUUCCUCUUCCUCUUUCUGCCACAGCUGUAGAAGGAGCGCUCGAUUCUCAAAUAAAUGCAACCCCUGAGGAGCUACCUCCCAUCCAGCGACUGGAACAAUCAAUUGAGUCGCCGAAGCGACAGUAUCAUCAUGUCCUUAGCCAAUCAUGGUAACCCCCACUGUUUGACUGCCCUCAAGGGUGGGCGCCGAAGCCACACCCCUCUCCGCAUCUGAUUGGGGAGAGUCCAAAUUGAUCACCACUGGAGGAGCCAUCGUGAAUGCAACCCUUUGCCUGACGAGCAGCCUUUCCUUUUCCUCCUCUGCCUUAUUCGAGGGAGACUCUAUCCUAGGAUGUACCACUCCGAUAGCCCUUUGGUCCGAAGUACGGUUCGUGUUGGGGAAGGUGCUAUUGAAGACUCAACCGACGACACCCUCGGUACUGGGAGCGGUACCGGUGCUGCCAGACGACGGAAGGCUAGCUGAGGAGCCCUGGCAUGUAUGGUUCAGAAUGAUCACAAAAAACACAUAAAGUUGUUAACUAGAGUUGGAAACAAGAACGAAACGGAAGGUCAAGUCAAAUCCUCACCAGUUGUAGGCAUACGACUAUGCCUCUCCCAGAAAGACGACCACGUGCGUGUUCCUGUUGCAUGCGGAAGCACGGCCUUGACCCACUCACGUAUUCCAGGCAGUGGAGCCGGCAGCGGCUUGUCAGCUGCAAAAUUGGCACAAGGUUAACGCUUACAAGCACAAGACGUAAGGAUAAGCAAAAAUGAGAAUUCGAUUAUUAAAGAAAGCUUACAUGCGUGGUUCCAAGACUCUGGGAACCCAUGUAGGGAUGCCACCAAAUGAUUAGUUCUGAUACAGAAGAAGUGCUCGAAAGGGUGAGGAUCGACCAUGUUGUCCAAAUUGGCGGCUAGGCCCCUUGACCCAUGAGUGCUCGCUCGGAUCGUUGUGCCGCAGGUCCUCUGGGGGACGUAAAGGCUAAGUACGUGUGGCAGAGUGACCUCCAUGCCGUCCAGCUCCGCGUACUUGAUAAACAUGGCAAACAACGUAUAGAGAGAAGGAGUAAGCUGGCCAGGGCAUACCCAUAGUAUCGGCAAUAAUCCACUACUAGCAUUGGAAGCGGGAGCCUAAAUCCCAAUAUGAAGGGAUAGGCAUAGAAGACACUAUAUACUCUGCGGUCGCUGUGGACACUCUCCUCGUUUCUAGCUAGAACAAUGUCAGCAUAGCCGUCAGUGCCCCAUUGUUCCUGAAGUUUGACUAUUCCGACUUCCCCCAUUAGAUGGGAUUCAUCUGCUAAAUCUCGACAACCGACGGAACCCCUUCGGUAUCCACUGGUUCUACACCCUUUGCCGCCAGAGAUGGCCCUUCAGCCACCGGAAGGUUAAUCGGAUGAUUCACUGCAGAAAUAAUUUGGAAAGAACUGCUUACCAUUGUUGAUUAAAAACUGAGAAAAGAGCAAGAUUUGACGGAAAAGAUGAGGAUUGUAACAAAUGAAGAACAAAGAAGAAAAUGAACUAACAAGAAAGAGAGCUCUUUAGAAAAUCUUACUCAGACCAACAAGGUGAGAAAUAAACACCUCAAACCCUUAUUUAUAGGCAACAAAGUGGCUUUCACGAAUUACAAUAGACAUCAUUAACUACAUGACCAAUGCAAAAGGUUCAUUUCCACAGAAACCUGCAUCAUUAUGACAGGCUCCACGAAGCGGCUUUUCGAUCGCCAAUCGGUGUUUCACUUACAAAACAGUUGAAAAUACCUAUGAACGCUGAGGGAACGUCCUAUGAACAUUCAAAACUUUGGUCAUCUCCAAACACCUACCAAGCGUGCCCGUACACCCUUCGGCCGUGCAACAUACGACUCGUCCGCCAAGGACGACGACUACGUCUUCAAACAAACAAAGAUUCAUAAGCCAUCGAGCUCGACCCCACCCGAAAGAAGUUUAAAGGCUAAGUGCUUUCGCUAAGAGGGACGAUUCGACCUCCCCCGAACGAUGGCGCAGUGAUGCCGAGAUAAUUAUCAGCACCCCAUAAGGCUAUGGACAUCUCCAGUAUGUAAACGGCUAAGGUCGUCCACACUAUUAAGGCUAUGGCAAUCUCCAGUAUGAUAACAGUUAAGGCUGUCGUCAACAGUAUUAAAGUUAAAGAUCAUCGCCGAAGAGAAUCUAGUCUCGACCAAAACCACAUUUGACCUCCCUUUCCGAACUUCUCAAAUUCCACUCGGCGAAGUCCGCUCAUCGAUCUCGGCCAAGGCACGACCUCAAUAAGCGGAGGGUUAGAAUCACACCCCCUGAUAAUUAACGAAAUUAAUUAUUCUUAAGCUAAUUCUUGGCUAAUAAGUGGUAUGGCCACUUAUUAGUUACGAUACCUGAUGGUUACCCAGCUCGAUCAACUAGGCCACGGCCCAUCCGCCAUCUUAAGGAUGGAACCUCAAAGUGGUCACGGCCAUUUAUCACCAGCUCAUAUAGCUUACAGCUAUAAAUACUAAGAGAAGUAACCCUAAAAGGGGGGACUCUUCUUCUUCUUCUUCUUCUUCUUCAUCAUUGUUCCCAAGAAAAUGGGAACACCAUUUCAAGGCUCUGAACCUCUCCAUGGAGAGGCAUACAAAAUAUAUAUUAUCAAUAGAAGCUCUAACACAUUUUUCCUUAAGGCAAAGCUCUUGCUUUUCGUUUCUUUCACUUGGUCCGUUGAUUUAUUACGAUCUACUAUGAUUGGACCUUGAUUUAUUUUUAUUGUUUUAUGCUUGUAAAGUGUAUGAUAACUUUAAGCUAAAUAAUAGCACUUUUAGUUACGUUUCCUUCUUCUCGUUAACUCAAUAUAUAUCAAUUAAAGUAAUCAGCUAUAUAUACCUCAAAAUCUCAAACUAAUCGAGGUUAGUUUUAUGAAUUCUCUAUUGAUUCAUUCUCCUAUAUACUCUAGUCAUUCAAUUAUAUUGUGUUAAGUACAUAAAUUUAGAGAAAAAGUGACAACUAAAGCAAGGUUCAGACGUUGAGAAAAGCUUCGAGAGAAGCGGAUAUUUUGUAUUGAGUAGAAGAAUGAAUAAUUCAUCUUUACAAUAGAGAGAGUCACUUAUAAAUAGUGGGCCUUGACCCGGUGACCCAAUUAUAAACAAUUACAACAUGGGCCAAUUCUAAUUACAAUAAUGGCCCAAAUACAAAAUCAGGCCUUACCUAAUAUUCUAACAGCCCCCUCAAAUUGGAGGGUGAAAGAACCCCUAACUUGCGAAGAUGAAAGUAAUGAGCCGACCCAGGAAGGGCCAUGGUAAGAGUAUCAGCAACCUAAGCAUCGCUAGACACAUGACCCAAACUAAUCAGCCCAUCACCAAUCUUGCCUCUGACGAAAUGACAAUCCAGCUCUAUAUGUUUAAUUCUCUUAUGAAAGACUGGAUUGCGGGCAAUGUGCAAAGCAGCCUGGUUGUCACAAUACAAAUGAAUUGGAGAGGAAGAAGGACGACAAAAAUUAGAUAACAAUCUUGAAAGCCAAGUAACCUCGACAACAGCUUUACUCAUGGCCCUGUAUUUUGCGCCAUCGAAGAAAGAGAGAUCACAGGUUGCUUCUUGAAUUUCCAACUCACCAGAUAAUCACCAAGAAACACACAAAAGCCAGUAACAGAUCUUCUACUAUCAGCACAAGAAGCCCAAUCACUAUCAUAAUAUACUUUUAAAGAAAGAUCACGAGAGUCACUGAAGAACAGACCAAAGUCAGAAAUCCCUUUCAAAUACCUCAAAAGAUGUAAAACAGCAUAUGAGGCACAUAAGGAGUUUGCAAGAAUUGGCUAAGAUGUUGAACUGCAAAACUGAUAUCAGGCCUUAUGUGUGUUAAGAAGUUCAACUUGCCUACCAAACAUCUAUACUCUUCGGGCUUGGGUAAACAAUCACCAACAGAAGCCUUUAAUUCCUCAUUAAUUGCAAGGGGACAAACAACAACAAAAGAAGUUGAAGAUGCAAAUGACUCUAAUAAGUCAUGAAUAAACUUCUUUUGAUGAAGAAGUGCCCUAGAAUCAUAAUAGAGAACCUCAAUUCCCAAAAAAUAAUUAAGAUCAAUGUCCUUAAUCCUGAAUUGUUUAUACAGAAACCCCUUUAAGGAGGAAAUCCUAGACAAGUCAGUCCCAGUAAGAAUGAUAUUAUCCUCAUACACAACUAAGAUGACCAAGGAAGAGCCAGAACCCCUAGUAAAUAGGGAGUAGUCAUUUAAAGAAUGAGAAUGUCCUCAAGAACAAAGGGCCUAAGACAAUUUAGCAUACCAUUGUUUAGAAGCCUGUCUCAAACCAUAGAGGGACUUGAGUAGAUUUCAAACCAAAUGAGGAGGAGAAGAAGAGGAAGAAGGAACAGAUAGACUAGGUGGCACCUUCAUGAAAACCUCCUCAUCAAUAUCCCCAUGUAAAAAUGCAUUAUUAACAUCAAGUUAAAAUAAAUUCCAUCGUUGUUUGACAACCACAUCAAUCAAAGACUUCAAACUAGACAUUUUGGAGAAAACGUUUCAUGAAAAUCAACCCCUUCAACUUGAGUAUCGAUCACCUCUAAACUACUAACCUGGCCUUAUACCUCUCCAGACUCCCAUCAUUUCUAUAUUUUACUUUGUAUGCCCACUUACAACCUAUAGGAUUCAUACCAGGGGUAACUUAAUAAUAUCUCAAGUUCUAUUAGCCUCCAAAGCCUUAAACUCUUUUCAGCCUUCUACCACACAGGGAUAGCAGUAGCCUAAGAAUAAGUAUAAGGCUCAGGAAUGUGGAGCUGUAAAGUGGUUGCAAAAAUAGACUCAAAACUAGAAGAAAUACGGACAGAAACAGAAGGAGAACGGGUAGAACAUACAAAAUACUAAAGAUAAGCAGGAACAUUAAGAAGCCUACCAGAUCUUCUAAGUGGAGGAGGAGAUGAGGGAAGAACAUAAUAGGAAGAUGAACUAGGGGAAAGUGAGUAAGGGAGAUUAGGGGAACUUGGAAAAGAAGAAGGAGAAGUAGAAGAUUGGGAAGAAGAAACAAGAAUAGAAGGAGAUAAAGGAGAAGAUGAUUCAUUAGAGGAAUGGCCAGGAAUGAGAGGAGAGGGCAAGAUAUGGGAUGAGAGUGUACAGGACUUGGGAAAAGGGAAAAUGUGUUCAUGGAAAGUUACAUCUAUGGAGCUAAAACAAGAUUUAGUGGACAUUGUAGCGUUUAUAACCCUUUUUGGCAAAAGGAUAUCCAAGAAAAAUACAUGGGAUAGACCUAGGAUGAAACUGAUCUCUAUGGGGUUCAGGCACAGUUGAGUAGCAAAGACACCCAAAGGAUUUAAGGUGAGAAUAAACAGGAGCCUUGCCAAAAAGUAACUCAUAGGUACUCUUGUACAUAAGGAGAGGUGAAGGGAAUCUAUUUAUCAGAUAAGUGGCAGUAAGGAGACAAUCACCCCAGAAUUUAAUAGGAAGAUGAGUUUAAAACAAAAGAGCCCUGACAGUUUCUAAAAAAUGCUUUUGUUUUCAUUCAACUACACCAUUUUGUUGUGAAGUGUGAGAUAAAGAGGUUUGAUGAACGAUCCCUUUUCAGAAACGAAAAGAGAACCAGAAGAAGAGGAUCCUAGCUCUAAAGCAUUAUCACUUCUCAUAGUCUGAACUCUAGUUUGAAACUAUGUUUCAACCAAAGAAAUAAAGGCCUUUAACAAAUCAAAAGCAUUGCUCUUUUCCCCCAUGAGAUGUGACCAGGAAGCCCUAGUAUAGUCAUCUAGUAUUGUAAUGAAGUACUUAGAACUAGAGAGAGUGGGAGUGUAGUAAGGACCUCAAGUAUCUAUGUGAAUAAGCUAAAAAGAAUGAGUGGAAUGAAUAGAACUAUCAGGAAAAGGGAGCCUAGUUUGUCUUGUUAAGGGGAAAAUGGGACAUGUGAAAGACUGCUUGGAAGAACCAAAGAAAUAAAGGCGUUUAACAAAUAAAAAUCAUUGCUCGUUGCCCCUAUGAGAUGUGUCCAGGUAACCCUAUUAUAGUCAUCUACUAUUGUAAGGAAGUACUUAGAAGCAGAGUGAGUAGGACUGGAGUAAGGAUCUGAAGUAUCUAUGUGAAUAAGCUUGUUAGCUUAUAUAAGUAUACCAAACUAUAGAGUACCUGGUCCACUAUGAGACUAAUACGUAGAUAGCAGUAAAGGCUGAAUGUAAAGAAGGCAAGAGACUUUUAUAUGUUGAAAAAUCCCCCACAAGGGGAUCAAAAGACCACAACUUACUGUUGUAGACUUUUAACUCAACUAACUUGUAAUCUACCAAUUACAAGACACUUUGAAAAAAAUCCUAUUGCACUUUAAACUAACUUAUGAUGCAACCACACAAGCCACUCUCUAGCUCUCCCAGUUACAGAAUGUUUAACUUAUGACUAUUUUAGUCAUAACAUAAACUCUAAAGUUUACAAAUUUUGUUUUUUCCUAAAAUAGUGCUUCUAAAAAAGCAGACUAGGAAUUACAACGUAGAACAAUUAACAAGAUUACAACUCAACUAUGGAUAUACAUAAGACUUAGUUUAGAAACUGAUCCUUAGUGGAGUUGUCUUCUUGUUCUUGACACACCAGUGAUUUCAAUGCAGAUCGAUACUUCUUCUUCUUGAGAGAAUAUCACUAAAUGCAGAAGAGAUGGGGUGUCUUGGACCAGGUUGUUUUAUCACAAUGGAUAGUGAUGUUAACUCUUGGUGUACUUCUUCCUAGUGAGAAUUGACUGUUGUACUUUCUGCACAGCCACUUCUGGGCAGUUGCGUUCCAGCUGGACUUUGUGCUUCUGUCAGGACAUACUAAUGGACCAGGUCCUAAUAUUUUGGCCAGGACAUAGAAACAGACCAUGUCCAAGUUAUGUUCCUCUUUCUGUAACAAUUGCCAUAUGGUUACUUUCUUCUGCUCCAUUUCGGAUGUGCACUUUAUUUGUACUUUGAUCAGAGGACCCUAAAGGAGUAGGUCCUUGUUGUGUCCCUGUUUAUAUUGAUUACGUACAGUCACUGACUUGUGAUUUUGUUGGAGAACCCUAAGGUACGAGGUCAUCAGUUCCCUAGUAUGUUCCUCUAUGUGGUCGUUCAUCCAUUUGCUGAUGUUCAGGCUUUGACCAGGUCAUAUGAGAUGUGUAUCCUGUGGAGCAGAUCACCUAUCUAGUUCUUCACAACAAGUUUAUUAGAUCAUCAAAACAUGAGAAGUAUAAGGUUAAGAGGAAACCCACCAAUUGUUUCCUUUUUGAUGAUGACAAACUUAAUCAUGGACUAGAUGUUUAGAGCUAGAAUAACCAGACGAUCUGAGAACAAUUGUGAGCACGUGAUUUUAGUUAUUCCUAGAAAUUCAAACAAAAUAAUUUCUUUCAUUAUUUUACAAAUUUAUGGAUUUUUGUGACAUUUUGUGUUAUUUUUUUGCAUUUUUGUUUCCACAUUUUAUUCAAUUUAAAUAUAAAAAUAUUUUGGCAUUUGCGUCUAGGAUGUAGUCUCAAAUUUUAGGAUUAAUUAGUAAUUAAAUUACUUUACAAAGAAGAAAAUAAUAAAAAAUUUCAUUUUGCAUUUUUUAACUAUUAAUUAUUGAACUUAUCAUGAGUUUACUUAGGACUUAAACUAUUUUUAGGAAUUAACUAGUUCAGGUUUGGGAAUUAUAUAUGAGUUUUUCUUUAAUUUUGCAUUUUAUAAAAUUUGAAAAUAAUAAUGAUAAAAGGAAAAAUACAAAAAAGGGAAAAGUGGUGUUUAAAUUGAUCUUGGGCCAAUUAUGAACUAAUUGCUGAGCCCAAAUUUGUUACCUUCCCAAACCCUUAUGCCCAACUCAAACCUAUUCCGCAACCCGAUCUCCCCCCUUAAUGAAACGACAGCGUUUGUCACAAAAAUAAUCCCAACCGCCGUGGAUCUUUGAUCCAACGGCUGGGAAAUGGGUCAAUAUUAGUAUAUAAAUGUCGGAGACUCCCAUAACCCCCAGGUCCAUCUCUUUCACUUCCUCAUAACCCUAUUUCAGAGCUCACCGUCCACCGCUGGCCGUAAAUCGCCUCCGCCGGCGGCAAGUGUCCGAACUGCCCCAAAUUUACACCUUAGCUUCCUCUCGACCUCCACAUCCUCAUUUUAUAACCAAUUUCCCUCGAAUCCCACCAAGACUCAUCGAAUCUUCAAUCAAAGAUUCCGGCCAAAACCCAAAGUUACACAAUACCGUCGAAAUUCACACCCUAGAACCGCCUCAUUCUCCUCUUUCCAAACUCCCUAACCUUGUACCUCGAAUCCCCGCCGAACUCCUCGAAUCUCUGAUCAAAAUUCUGACCAAAACCCUAAAUUCUCCAAACCCCACCAAAUUGAUACCACGUGACCUCCCCACUUCCCUCAUGACGAAUUUCUCACUAGUAGCACUCGAAUAUCGUUGGAGAUGGUCGAAUUUUGAAUUUGAGAAGUGGCAUGACUAUAGAAAUUAUAUCUGUAAGUUUUUGUCUUUAAUUUUUGUGUUUCCUCUCAUGAAUGUGUUGCUUCAUGAUUAGUUAAAUAGUUCUUUUUAUUUUGUUAUAAGUUCAAGUAAUUAAUUAGGUAUUGUGUGUAUUUUUGAAUCAGUAAUGUGUUCUGUUCUAUUGAUGUGAUCCAGUAGCAUGAGUUUUUGCUAUGUUUGAUUUCUCUUAAGCAUCUUUUUGUUAUUAAUCCGUAGUUAGUAUUCUAGGUUUGGAUUUCUGUUUAGCUUAAAUUUAACUAGUUUCUACUUGUUUGGAUUUUCUUAUGUUGCCUAGUUUCAUACUGAUUUUAUUAUGGUUAACUGAUAAUUGGUUUGAUUGUUAAUGAUAAUUGGUAAUUUAAAAUUCAGUAGUUAGUUUAGAUUUAGGAUUUUGGUUUGAACCUGGUUCUAGCUAAUUUAAUUACAAAAUGGUUGUUUAACCAUGGUAAGAUGAAACUAAGGGGUUGGGAUUAAUUGAUAUAGAUCACUAAUUUAAGACUAAUAAAAGAGUAGUUCAGGAAAUUCUAUUUAAUGAAUCUAGCAAUAGCUGAAAUAGAACUUCCUAGAUGCUUCUAGAUGGGGGUUCUAAGGUAAAAUUCAGGAAUUAAGGGUACUAACUUGAGGAACAAGUAAGUAAGUUAAGGACUAGUUCAUUAAAAUCUGAAAGUAAAAGAGGGACUAAAAGAAAAAUAGGAAAAUUUGAGAGCUUCCCUCAUUUUGCCUAUAAAAAGGCAUGACUAGUGCCUUAGUAAACAAGUUUUUAGAACCUAAAAUUCCCCCUAAAAAUAUUCUUCAAGUUUCAUAGAUCUGAAAUUUGAAUUGAAAAUUCAAACUCCUUUAGAUUUUAGUUCCCUCAAAUAAUACAAAACAGGAGCAACAAAAAAUCCAAAAAAACUGUUACAUUGACUUUCCUUAGGUCACUUUCAAAUUCCAGCAUCUAAUUCAACUUUCUAGCUUAGUUAGGAUCCAAAACUACUUGAAUUUCCAUGUUUUUGUUCGAUAUCUGAGGUUUGAAGGUAGUUUGAAUCAUCUAAGCAUUGGAUCUGAUUAGUUCAGGUUGAUUGUGGGUUAUCUGCUAAGUGUGUUGAUGUGCUGGGUUCAUUUCUAGUUAUUUGGUGCUUUUUUGGGUAAAUCUACUACUCCUGUUUGGUUUUAAAACAUUUCUGGACUGCUGAAUUGUUGCUGGGCUGUUGUUCGACCUCUGAUCGUUACAACUGUUGAUUUCUUCUUCUUCUUGAAACAUCCAAGUACACACCUUGAACCAACUGUGAUGUAACUUGAACUGGAAAUGGAAAUCCUCUUGCUCUUGGCUUGAUGUUUUUGUUACCCGCCUCUAUUCGACUUAGCCUAGUUUAAUUUCAUUUUUUGUUGUUAAAUGUUUAAUGGAGCUGGACUGUUUUGACUGUGGACUGUUAGACUAAUCUGACUUCUUAUGAUUAUAUGAUUUUGUGUAUAGUGUUGUUAGCUUGAAUUAGUUUGAACUUCAGAAUUUGUAUUACUAUGAGUUAAUUCAAAAUAGCAAUUCAGAGUUCAUGUUUCUGGUUCUUCCUCUUCCAUGUUAGUCGGGUUCCAUCAACACAAAUGGGUAGAUGUGGAUUAAUUGUUUAAGUCUAGGUGUUCUGCUUUGAAUUUAGGCCACUAACAUAUUCGUGUAUAGCCAUAAUCGGUACACUGCUUAGAACACUAGAUAAAUAUAUUGCUAUCCUCUAUUGCUAUCCAUAAAUUCACCAGUAGAUAUAUAGAUAAGGAAAUCUGAACUUUAGAAUUAAAAUCAAAUCUGUUUGGUUUAGAUGUCAAGUUGUUUUGGGUUUUAGUUGUGAUGAUUAAGUUGAUGAAGUCCGAAAUUCUGUGUGUGAAGGUUUAAAAACAGAAAUCAGUAUAGAGAUUGCCAACGUUUAAAUGAGUGUGGAUUUUCAAUAUUUUCAGAUUUGAAUAAGUAGAUCAAUUACCUGCGAAUUGUUAAGCCCAAUUGUUAAUUUUGGGACCUAAAUCAGUCUGUACGAGGCCCCCCCCCCCCCCGCAAAUUUGAUUGUGUAUGUUUUCUUCCUUGGCUAUGCAUGAGGCCCAAGGGAAAUUGAUGAGGUUUGAAUUCGUAUGAAAGUCAUGGACCUAAAAUUAUAGUAGCUUUUGAACAAUAUUAAUUAAUUAGGGCUAUUUCUUUUAUCAUUAGAGACAAAUUGAAUAGAAAAUCGUAGUUUUCUUUAGGUUGGCUUUCAAAUAAUAAAGUAGGUGAGCCCCGCCAAACUCAAUUCCUAAGCUGUGGGGCCCUCUUUAAUUGUCUAUAUUAAAAUACUUAGAAUUCGGGACAGGCCGUUUAGCGAAUUUUAUGGUCUUCCUCAAAGACAAUAAAACGUAGUUGCUUUAGGCGCGAAUUUUAAUAACUUACCUUCUUAAACUCGGGUGUGCAUUUCAUGUGACCCAAAUCAUAUCCCAAAAACAUUGAAUAAAAUAUGUUCAGGAUUGCGGGUGCAUUUCAUGUGAUGCGAUCCAAAAAUACAUUUUAAACGACGUUCAACUUUCUUUUAGAAAUUGAAUAAACGUGGUUUAAAGUUAAAAUUUGCACAUAGGUUCAACAUGUAUUAAAAUCAGAUAAAUAAGCUGAAUAUGACAGUUGAGCGAUCGAGCUUGAACCACGGAACACGGGAAUGCCUAACACCUUCUCCCGGUUAAUAGAAUUCCUUACUCGGAUUUCUAAUUCGUAGACUAUUAAAUAGAAUCAAUAAUUUCCUCGAUUCGGGAUUCAUUCGGUGACUUGGGACACCAUAAAUCUCCAUAGUGGUGAAUCUGAAUCUUUAAUUACAAAUCCCAUUUCAAUUGUCCUUUUAUUGAAAAAACUCUUUUAUGCCAUUGCGGGUGUAGUAAAAAAGUAGGUGUGAUAGUUCUGGCAACUCUGUUGGGGAUACAAACCCAAAACUUCGAUUCAGGGUUUAAGAAUUCGAGCUUAGUAUAAUUGUUAUAUUUGGCUUUAUCCGAUUUUCCUACAUAUUCCACGCUAUACGUGCUAAAUGUUUUACCGCUUUGAGAUUUGUUGAAUUGUAUAUAUAAACUAUUACGUAUCAUUUCCCCUCUCCGAGUCUUCUACAUCAUGGAGAAGGGUGCACUUCAUGUAGCUUCUCUUCUAUUUAGAGUCUUUUACCAUUUAGAACAAGGUUCGGAUAAGUUGCUAAGCCUGCAGAGCUUCUGUAUCCUUGGUACCUUGCCCUCCCCCCAGCUCGAGUUGUCCGCUCGGGUAAGCUAGGUUUAUAACAAUAAACCCAGGGCUUAAACUUAGUAUAACAAAGCCUCAUGCCGGAUCCCUAGUAGGAACGUUUGUUCGCAUCAUGUGCAAUUUGACUUAGGGAACUCAACACAAGGGUUGGGUCCAUCUAGGACAAGUAACCAAAAAUAAAAGAUCAUCAUGAUGCAUCUUACGUGCUACUUGCGCAUCUAUUUUCUCGGCUUUGCAUGUUCACCGGCUUGUGUAUAAUGAGAGAAAAUUGAGAAAAAUAGCAGUGUUAGGGUUAAGUGAGGGUAACCACUUGUUUUGAAAAUCAAUGCCCAAAUAGUACCGAAAUGCUGCCGGAUUUUUGAAAAAAGUAAAUAAAAAGGGAAAAUAUUUGAAAAAAAGAUUUUUGUUCAAAAAUUAUAUAUUUGAUUUUGGAAAAUUGCCCGAACUACGUAGGUUUGAUUCUCACAGGAUAUGAGAUGCGUAGGCAACCCUCAUCGGGUCCAACCUCCCAUUUGUAAAAAUAGCCAAAAAGUGUCAAAUUUUUAAUUUUUGCCAUAAAUAAGUCGGGUGAUGCCAUUCUUUUUUAAAUAAACCGAAUGUCACUAAAAGGGCGUCAGAAGGCUAUUUUUGCAAAAAUAGCCAUCUUGAGUCAUUUUUAAAAUGGUUUGCGGGUACAGCCUUAAAAUCAUCUUCCCAAAAGUGCUGAAAGGCCGUAUCUACAAAACUAGGCUCUUGUUUUUCUAAGUAAUGAAAUUUUGCAAAAAUAGCCAAUUUUCUCUUUUAUGAAAAAAUUGUUAAAUCUCCUUUAAAUAAAUGUGCAGGAUGAAUACCACCAACAUUGAAACCUUCCCAGUCCUGAGUGAGAUCCCUUUAAAGCUCCACAUGUGGUGGAAUGAUUUGGGAAAAUGUAGCAGAGAAACCGUGGUCAAGAUUUUUGGUGGUCUUGUUGGAUUGUUAGACAUCAAAACAAGAACGGAUAUAAUUGAGGCACUGAUACCAUUCUGGGACCCAACUCGUAAUUCAUUCCGGUUAUCAAAUUUUGAACAUACACCUACACUAGAGCAGAUUUUGGGAUAUGCGGGUCUCAACCUCAGAAGUGGAUCUCUAUUGGCACCGAGACCGGUAACCGUCCAUAGAUUCUUGUACCCAUUGAGCAUUCAUUGGGACAUUCAAGAUAAACAUCUAUCAGAAGGGUGUUGCACACUUCAUUUCUUAUACAACCGAUAUGGCAACCCGAAAGGUUUUGAGGAACCCAACACCGAUUUGACACAUGCUGGGAACAAAGAUAAAGGGGAGGCUCGGUGGGGGUUGCCAUUCAUGGUUGCUUUUCUGGGAAUCGUGGUUUGUCCAAGAAAAUACGGUCACAUAGACAUGGCGUUGUGGGAAUAUUGGAUGUCUCCAUAAAGAAGCCUACUAGCACAGUGGUUCCCUUGAUUGUGGCAAAAAUGUAUCGGGCCUUAGCCAUGUGCCGAGAGGGUAUGAAAUUCUUCUAGGGUUGCAAUAUCUAUUAUAGCUAUGGAUACGGGAGCACCUUUGUUAUCGCAUAGGGUACAUGAACUAUGGUCUAACUUGGCUAAGUUGUAUUACAGAGUUCGGAACCAGGGUAACAGGUAUUGAGUUCCUCGAAGGCACUGAGGCUUGGUUGUCUUGCUUGAGAUCUUUGACUACGGAUAAUGUCGAAUGGGAUUUCGGAUGGCUUCCCGUUACUGAGGCUAUGUACACAUCGACAAAGGUACCUUAUAUUCUUUUGAUGCGAAUUCUAAGCAUCCAACCUUACGCUCCCUACCAGGUCUUGAGGCAACUUGGAAGAUUCCAAACCGUCCACGGUGACGAAGACUUGAGCGGAAAAAUCAUUGAGUUAGGCCCAAAAGCCGCAUUUCCGGAAGAUAAAGUCCGAUAAAUAUGGAAUGAGUGCAGAUACCUUGAGCUUAAGACUAUGGUACAGGAUUUGGCUAAAGGCGAAGUGGACCCCAAAACUUUGACCUGGUUUUGCAAAAGAUUUGAAAUCCCUGAGAGACCUACCAAAAGUUCACAUGUGCAACAAUUCACAGACAGGGCCCAGGUGUAGAGGGAGUGGCUAGCCAAAGAAAUAAAAUACCGAGUGAAAAUAGGGAAGUUGGAGCAACAGGUCCAAGAUCUUCAAUUUGAAAAGAGUGUGCAAGUUGCAGAUGAUGAAGGCGAUAAAAAGAAACUGGCCCAAGAGAAUGAAGCUCUCAAGUCUCAAAUUCAACAAAUGAAAAUAGCCGCCAAAAAUCAAGAAAGAAGUCCGUUUGAUGAGAGGUUGAUAAAAGGGCUGAAGAAGCAAGUCAUAGAAUGCCAGGGAGAAUUGGAGAAAUCUAAAGGGAACAUGUCAAAACUUCUGGCACUGUGGGUAAAGAAGACAGAGGAAAGAACUCAGUUUGUACAACAAAUGAAAAGAAAUUAUGAGGAACCAUUUCUAAUAUGAAAAGGAAAAUGAAAGCCUUUGAAACUGAGGCAGCCCGGCAGGACAAAGAAUCUCUGGUUGAGAGGGAACAAUGCUAUGGGCUAAUAAACGAAAUGGAGAAGGAAAUAAAACUGUUACAAGACCAGCACUUCCAUGACUCCCAGGUGUUAGAGGCUCGGAAACAGUAGAUAAGCCGACUCCUCCAAGAAAAGGGCCGGAACAGGGAAAGAAUCAGAGGCAUUGCACACUCUAUUGCCAUGAAAAGUUAGGCCGGUGAACGAAUGGGUCGUACCACUUUCUUUGCUACAGUGAUGAUAGUUGUUCGUAAGGCUAUGAAUGAUCUAGAGCAGUUACAAAGGGGUCUAGCACGUAGUCCCAUGGUGAUGCCGAAUGAUGCCCUGCGGGCCCAAAGAUUUGAAACCUUAAUGUAUUUUUGAUCUAGUUUUAGUUAUCGAGUCUGUAUUUUGUUACUCCGAGUCUGUUUUGUAAUUUCCCGUUUAAGAAAACAAAUAGUCUAGUAUCUUUGUAAUCAGAGUUUUAUGAAUAUAAUCAUAGUUUUAUUAAUGAAAAUUUAAAAAUCCCCAAAAAUUGUUUCCUUAUUUUUGUAUUCGUUCGCACAAACUACGCCUGGUCUGAUUCAUGCGGGGUCAUGAUACGUAGGCAUUCUCCAUAGGAUUUGAACGUAACCAAAUGAAAACGUGAAAAGAAAGGAGAGAAAAAUAGGAAAAGAAAUAAGAAAAGAAAGAAAAUGAAGGAAAGAGGUGAAAAAAAAGAGAGGAAAGAAAAACAAAACGAGAGAGAAAAAGAAAAACAAACGAGAUAAUAAGAAACCAAACGAAAGAAACAUCGGCAAAAAAAGAGGGAACGAGAGAAUAAAAACAAAGAGAAAAUGCAGAAAUAGAGAGAAGAAAGAAAGGAAAAGAAAAAGUUGCAAUCAGAAAUAAGGAAGCCGGGAUGACGCAGGCAGUCGAGCAAAUGCAUAAUAGAAUCCAUUAACUGCUUAGGUGCAUUCAUUCUCCAACGCGCGGUCAUCAAAUCUGCUAAUGCCCUAACCAUUAACCAAGCUAUUGUUGAUGUUGAUUGCAGACAGGUAGUUAGUUGUUUGGCAUUCUGGCAACCCAUUCCUACAACACCUGAUCAAAAGACAAGCUAAUGACAGGUCAGGAAUCCAAUACCAGUAUUGUGGACCCGACAGAAGAGGUAGAGGCGAUGAAUGUUAAUGCAAUGAGGGAAGAAAUGUAUAAGUUGAGGCACUAAUUGGCUGAAAUGCAUCAGGCUUGGUCUAAGGGUCAGCCGGAGCCAGUUUAUCCCGCCAAUCCAGCUUACAUCCCACCUUUGGCUCAGUCUUAGGAGCCUCCUACUGUGAAUUCAUCUCCGGAUUUUCUUUCUACCAACAGGGAUAUGGCACCAUCUCAUACCCUCUCCAAGCUCCACCACCCAAACUAAGCCCUCAUCCACCGAUCACCCAUGUCUUUGUGGCACCUCCACUUGCCACACUACAAAGAUCCUCUAGUGAGCCACUGUUUCAAACACACGAUAGCUAGUACUAUCCUUCUGAGCCUACUUUUAAAGCUCUUUAGCCAUAUUAUUACACCCCUCACUUUGAGCUCCUUGUGGAAACUGAAAAGCCGCUUAAGAACCCGAAGCAGGAAGAGUUGUGUCGAAAAGUAAAAAACCUGGAGCAAUCCUUCAGGAACAUGCAAGGGUUGGGUGGCCAAGUUAGUGUGGCCUAUAAGGAUUUGUGUCUAUUCCCGAUGUUCAGUUUCCAGCAGGGUUCAAAAUGCUAAGGUUCGAUCUAUAUGACAGGCAUGGUGACCCGGUAGCCCACCUAAGGUGAUUCUGCAGCAAAAUGAGAGGGAGAGUGGAAAAGACGAGUUACUGAUGGCGUACUUCAGCCAGAGUCUGAGUGGGUCUCCUUUGGAGUGGCAUACACGACAGGACCAUGGUAGGUGGUAUAUCUGGGAUGAUUUGGCACAAGCAUUCGCCCGCCAUUUUCAGUACAAUCUAGAAAUUGUUCCAGAUCGCCUGUCACAUAUAAAACUUUAGAAGAAGCCCAGGGAGAUCUUCAGAGAUUAUGGGUUCUGCUCAAGAGAACAUGCUUCGAGGGUUGACCCUCCGAUGAAAGAUAGCAAGAUGGUCGCAUACUUUUUACUGGCGUUGAAGCCGACUUAUUUUGGGCACUUGGUAACGAUAAUUGGUAAAUCUUUUAAUAAAGUUGUGAAUAUAGGAGGAAUGGUCAAGGAAGGACUUACAACCAAAAAAAUCUUGAGCUAUUCAGAGAUCAAAGCCACCACCAAGGCCAUCCAAAGCGGCACUGGGGGUGUGCUCGGGAAAAAGAAAAAGGAAGAGGUUGUAACUGUUGAGUUUGGAGCUUGGCCCAGAUCUAGAGGCCCUUCACCCUACUACCAACCCCGACUCCACCACCCAAACUAUCCCUACACUCCAUAUAUCCCGCCACAACACUAUUACUCAAUACCAUAUCCAUAUUUCUCCGUCUACCAUGCUCAAACUUAUACCCAACCUUCGUCUCAUGCGCAAUGGCGUGCAUCUCGGCUGCUCAAGAAGUUUGACUAGUUGCUCCUCCAACCCGGAGUGGAUUCCAGGGCAUGGGCAUACCCUCACCAAGGACCCUACAGAAAUUCCCCGAGAAUAGGUUUCUGGCAAAACCAAGAUUUCAAGAAUGAGAGGGAAUAGAAACAAAAUACAUUCACUCUACUGGGAGAAUCAUAUACAACCUUUUUCAUAAAUUGAGGUAGCUAGGCCUGUUGAAUCCAAUUGAGCCCUAAAUGCCAAAUUUCUUUCCUAGAAAUCUUGACCAUUCUGUAAGUUGUGAAUACUAUUCGGGGGCCCCAGACAUGAUACAGAAAAGUGUUGGAAGCUGAAGACCAUUGUGCAAGAGCUCAUUGAAACUCACCGAAUUAAAGUUCAGGCCCCGGAGGCACCAAAAAUUAACUGGAAUCCAUUGAUGGUUCACCAUGAACCUCACAUAAUUGUAUUGAUAUGAAAGGGAGGGGAUCCCAAGAAACCCUCUCAAACUGUAAUGAUGAUCCACGCUAGCGAAACCAGUUCAAAAGAAAAAUCAACCAGUAAGAAGGCAGUGGUUCAGUUGGAAGGGGUGAACAGUAAGCCAGCUGUGGUGGUCGGAGAAGGGUCAAGCAAGGCAAAUGUGCGGUCCGUCGAACCACGUGCAAAAACCAACAAUUGGGAAGCUACUCCUCUUCUUACUCGGAGGGAGUAUUGGUAGUUGAUAGUGGGUUUGGAUCUUCUUUUGUUAUCUGGAUUAUUCCAGGGUUUGUAAUUCAAAUGUUAUGUUUCGUCCAAUUAGAUGUGUUACAGCCCUGUUAUCUUCAAUGAAAUGCAAUUUUCUUUCUUCAUUCCUAAUUCUGUUUCAGUUUUCUUUCCUUCUCUAUACAGGUUUUUCUAUGUUGAUAUCAAUGACAUGAUAUGCAUGAGGAAUCCUCGGCUCAUUCCUAAACUGGUCUAAUUCUGAAGUAAUAAUACAAGAAAUUGAGUGUGAUAAUGAAUUGGAACAUGAUGAUGAGGAAUGGGUGAAAACCCUCUUGGAACAAUAGAGCUUAAUCGAUGAGAAAAUAUUAACAUCAGGGUGUCAUGGCCAAUUGUAUCAACAAAGAAUGAAAAGAGCGUACAACAAGAAAGUGUGUCCGAGGAAGUUUAAGGUGGGACAAUUAGUGCUGAGAUGUAGUUUUCCUCAUUGGGCUGAAGCAAAAGGAAAGUUCGCCCCAAACUUGCAGGGGCCAUUUGUUGUAACAAGAGUAUUGUCUAAUGGCGUAUUAUAUCUAGAAUAUAUGGAAGAAACAUAUGUAGAAAUGGCCAUCAAUUUUGAUGUGGUCAAGAGAUACAAUGUAUGAUUUCUUUAUUUGAUUGUACUUGUUUGUAUUUGGCAUAUUUUGAAGAUUGAAAUGACAAAGGCGUUUUAUUCUGCUAUCUAAACACUUUAUCCCUUGUCAUACCUUUUGAGCCUUAUUUAUUUUCUUUCAUAACCCUAUUUCGGAAUCAAUGAUAUAAUUCAAAAACGCAAGUGCGGAAGAUAAGAAAGUGAAAAUAAAAAGAAGGAAGAAAAAGAAAAGAAAAAAAGAAGAAAAAUGAAAAGUGAAGAAAAGAAAGAAAAGAAAAGAAAAGAAAAGAAGAAGAAAAAUGAAAAGUGAAGAAAAGAAAAAAAGAAGAAAACAAAUGAAAAGAAAAAUGAAAAAGAAAGGAAAAGAAGAACAGAAAAACAGAAAAGAAAAGAAGAGAAAGAAAAUCACCACAACAUAGUUUCUAUGAUGUGAAAUACGUUUGACUUGAUCCCGAAAUGAUACGUACGCAACCUCCAUUUGAGGUUCAGUCGUACCAAAACAAAACUCCAAAAUUUCCAAGCAAGAAACUGGGGCAGAAGUUGUGGUUGUUGUGAGAAAUCGGAUUUUGAAAGCUGUAGUUUUAACCCAUUUUGAACUGUAUUUGAGCCUUUUAUACCCUUCUUUUCCAACCCAUCAAAAAGCUCACGUUACGGUCCAAACAAAGUCCUUCUGAUCAGCAUUUGAGAAAUGCAAAGGCAAGCAGGUAAAGGUAAUUCAUGACGGGGGCAAUGCUCUGGUUCAAGCAAGAAAGAUAAAAAUGAGAGAGUCUUAUUGGUGAAAACCCUCAUGGGCACCGUACGGAGACGGGAGCUGAGAGAAAUAAAAAUGAGAGAUUCUUAUUGGUGAAAACCUUCAUUGGCACCGUAAUGAGUUGAGAAAAUAGAAAUAAGAGAGUCUUAUCGGUAAAAACCCUCACUGGCACCUUAAGGCGAAAGUGAGUUAAGAUCAAACAAAAUGAGAGAGGUCUGUUGGUGAAAAACAGCUUCGAGACACCAAAAUAUGAACAAGGUCAAGGUUUGGGUAAAGUGAUCAAAUUGUAGAAAUUCCGAUGCAAUAAGGUAUGGCAAGUGGAAGUUGAUUGGUUGAAAAAAUUGGACAGAUUAGUCCGAAAUGCAUGUCAUGACAAUUGGUACUAGCUGUUUCGGUCAAAUAAGUUCUUUUCCUUUUCUUUGUAGAAGUCAUUCGGUUUUGGAUUCUUCGUAUCUUUAACUCGUAAAAUGAUUGCAUUUCAUUUUUAGUCUUGUUCAAAGCAAGUGGAAAAGGAUUUCAAAUCUCACUACCAAUUUCCAAAAGUGCAAAUCCCAGCGUGGUCGGAGCAUGUCCAAAACAACAUGAUGUAAGGUGGAAUACGAAUCAUCAGAAAUUUCAUUGGUUGAAUGAUUGGGUAAUGUCAUGGGAAAUGCAAAGGUUAAAUAAAGGGGUCAGAGGUGCCAAACAACAACAUGGGUACAGAACCCUCGGGUUGUCAAAGGUCAGGGGAUUUGAAAGUCAGUCAGAAAGUUAAGCGGUUCAGGGCCAGUUCGGGGAAGCUGGUCAAAACAAAGCAAUGCAGCGGAAGGAUUUUCAGCAAGAAUGCCAUCAACUAACCACCAUUUUAAACUUACAAAUUUUUUUGGUUGAAACAGGGGCAAAAAAGUCGGUUGUUCCGGAGGAACUCUCCAUAAGGGAAAAACAAGUAGUAAUCAGGUUUGACCGCAAAAUGUGGUUUGAUUAAGACACAAGAUAGUCAUGAAUAACAUAGGGGAAUGUAAGUUGGUUUCAAGGUUUACAUGUUUAGGAUAAAAUUCAAGUAGGAGUUGUCAAGACCUUCCUGGAUAAUUGGAUGUAGAUAACAUGAUGUAGUAAGAAUGAUAACUUUAAAAGAUAUAACUUAGGUUUGUAAUUGUUAGGAGUUGUUAGGACCUCCCCUAGAUAAUAGGACUUAGAUUUCAAACUCUUAGUAAUAGUUGUUCUAGUGACUUAGUUAACACUCACCCGUGUACCCAGUUUCCAAACUGGGAAGAAAAUUUUCCUUUUUUUGUCUAUUUUGUGAAGUUAGGAGCCCGCCUGGAUAACGGAGGAAUGCAUUUAAAGUUUGAAGCCGCGAGCCCGCCCGUAUAACAGAGAAAUACAUUUUUCAGUUUUGAAGUUGGGAGCCUGCCCGUAGAACAGAGGCAUACAUUUAUGUUUUGAAGUCUGGAGCCCGCCUAGAGAACAGAGGUAUUACACUUCAAGUUUUUGUUUUCAAAUCUUAUUAAUAUCCGGUAACAAGUACCCAGUUUCCAAACUGGGGCAGAAAGUUUUCUUUGUUUUGUCUAUUUUGUGAAAUCAGGAGCCCGCAUGGAUAACAGAGGAAUACUUUCAAGUUUUGAAGUCGGAAGCCCGCCCGUACAACAGAGGAAUACAUUUCAAGCUUUGAAGUCAGGAGACCUCCUGGAGAAGAGAGGUAAUGCAAGUUUAUGUUUUCAAAAUCUUAUUAAUAUCCAGUAACAUGUACCAAGUUUCCAAACUGGGGUAGAAAGUUUUCUUUGUUUUGUCUAUUUUGUGAAGUCAGGAGUCCGCCUGGAUAAUAGAGGAAUGCAUUUCAAGUUUUGAAGUCGGGAGCCCGUCCGAAGAACACAGGAAUAAUUUCCAUGUUUUGAAGUUAGGAGCCCACUUGGAGAUAAGAGGUAUUACAAUUCGAGUUUUAGAUUUCAAGUUAUUAUUGAUAUCCGGUAACAUGUACCUAGUUUCCAAACUGAGGCAGGAAGUUUUCUUUGUUUUGUCUAUUUUGUGAAGUCAGGAGCCCGUCUGGAUAACAAAGGAAUAAAUUUAAGUUUUGAAGUCGGGAGCCUGCCUAUAUAACAGAGAAAUACAUUUUCAAGUUUCGAAGUCAGGAGCCCACCUGGAGAACAGAGGUAUUACAAUUCAAGUUUUAGCUUCCAAAAUCUUAUUAAUAUCUUGUAACGUGACGCCCAACCACCAAACUGGGAGAGAAAGUUUUCUUUGUUUUGUCUACUUUGUGAAGUCAGGAGCCCUCCUGGAUAACAAAGGAAUACAGUCAAGUUUAGCAGUCAAGAGCCUGCCUGGAUAACAGAGGAAUAUAUUUCAAGUUUAGCAGUCGGGAGCCCGCUUGCAUAACAGAGGAAUACAUUCAAGUUCAGCAUUCGGGAGCCAGCCCGUACAAUAGAGGAAUACACUCAGGUUUAGUAGUUCGAAGCCCGCCCAUAACACUGAGGAAUACAUUCAAGUUCAGCCAUGAUAACAACAUGAUAGGGGAUUCAAUAAUUACUAAAGAAAAAUAAGAAAAUCAAGAAACGUGCGGAAGCUAAAAGAAAAUAAAGAAACGAAAAAAGACGGAAAAUUAAAGAUAGAUUGAAUUUACAUUCAAGUUCAGCCAUGAUAACAACAUGAUAGGGGAUUCAAUAAUUACUAAAGAAAAAUAAGAAAAUCAAGAAACGUGCGGAAGCUAAAAGAAAAUAAAGAAACGAAAAAAAGACGGAAAAUUAAGGAUAGAUUGAUUUCAAGAAAGAGUUUAUUGAAUUCAAGAAGUAUAUUCUUAAAUUUGAAUCCUAACAACAACAAUUAGCUAAAAUAGAACUAAUCGCCUUUGGUAGAGAAUUAAAAUAAGAGAUAGACUGUGAAACCCGACAGGCCAUCCUUGGCUGGUGCUUGGACCCCAAUCAACCUCCUCUUGGGCUUGGACUUGGACCAUGAAAUGAGUGUAGCACUUAGCUAAAUCCUCUCCGUAAUAUUUGAGAUCUUGUUCCACCAUUAGCGCCUUCUUGAUCUCCCAUUGAAGCUCAACAACCUUGUCUUGCUUCUCCUUAGCUUGAGACCUUGUAAAUGGCUUUCUUGGUACUUCUACAGCUUUAUCCUUGUCCAUGAAGCUAUCAAGACAUCGGGAGACUGCCCGUAUAACAGAGGAAAUACAUAUCAGGUUCAGUAGUCUGAAGAAAAGGAAAAACAUAUCAGUUUACAAUUCAAAGUGGCAACAAUAGAUUUCACCAAGAGAAUACAAGGCAACAAGAAAUACAAUAUCAAGUUUGAAGAAUCUAGAUAGGAUUUUUGCAAUUCGUAGAUCAUAGUUUAGGCUAGCUUCUUGUUAUUUUGACACAUUUUAAUAAGGGAGGUCAGCAAGCAGUAGUAGCGGCAACAAUAGUGAAGUCAGAGCUCCUGGUAGUCCCAGCUAUCGACACCCCCAAACUACACUGACCUAAUUCCUUUUUAGCCAAUGAUAUGUAGGCAACCUCCGAAGCAGAGUGCGGUGAACUCUUUCAAAAAUGCUUUACACGGAGUAUUCGAACGGGCAAAAAUCUCUCGUAUCUGCUCACUUAUCUUUGUACGCAAAGUAUUCAUGUUUCCGAGCAAAGAGGGGCAACUGUGAGCACGUGAGUUUUUCCCUAUAUGAGUUAUUCCCAGAAAUUCAAACAAAAUGAUUUCUUUCAUUAUUUUAUAACUUUAUGGAUUUUUAUGACGUUUUGUGUUAAUUUUUUGUAUUUUUGUUUGCACAUUUUAAUAAAUGAAAAUAUAAAAAAUAUAUUUGGCAUUUGCAUUUAGGAUUUAGUCUCCUAUUUUAGGAUUAAUUAGUAAUUAAAUUACUUUACAAAGAAGAAUAUAACAAAAAUAUUUUAUUUUGUAUUUUUAAUUAUUAAUUAUUGAAUUUGUCAUGAGUUUACUUUUAAAUUAGGACUUAACCAAUUUUUAGGAAUUAACUAGUUUAGUUUUGGGAAUUAAAUAAGAGUUUUACUUUAAUUUUGACUUUUACAAAACUUAAAAUUAAUAAUGAUAAAAUAAAAAUAAAAAAAGGGAAAGGUGGUGUUUAAGUUGAUCUUGGGCCAGUUAUGAAGUAAAUGCUGAGCCCAAAUUUGUUACCUUCCCAAACCGGUAUGCCUAUCGCAAACCCAUUCCCCAACCUGGUCGCUCCCCCAAAUGAAACGAUGUUUGUCAUAAAAAUAAUCCCAGCCUUCGAGGAUCAUAGUAUAUCAAUGUCGGAGACUCCCCAACGCCUCUAGGUCCGUAUCGUUCACUUCCUCAUAACACUAUUUCAGAGCUCACCGUCUUCCGCAGGCCGGAAAUUACCUCUGCCGGUGACAACUCUCCAAACCGCCCCAAAUUUACACCUUACCUUCCUCUCCUCCUCCACAUCCACAUUCUAUAAUCAAUUUCCCUCGAAUCCCACCCAGACCGGUCGAAUCUUCAACCAAAGAUUCCGGUCAAAACCCAAAGUUACCCAAUCCAUACCAAAUUCACACCCUAGAACCGCCUCAUUCUCCUCUUUCCAAACCCCCGAAACCCCAUCCCUCGAAUCCCCGCCGAACUCCUCGAAUCCACGCCAAACUCCUCGAAUCUCCGAUCAAAAUUUCGGCCAAAACCCUAAAUUCUCCAAACCCCACCAAAUUGAUACCACGUGACCUCCCCACUUACUUCAUGAUGAAUUUCUAACCAGUAACACUCGAAUAUCGCGGAAGAUGGUCGAAUUUUGAAUCUGAGAAGUGGCAUGACUGUAGAAGUUAAACCAGUGAGGUUUUUUUUUUUAAUUUUGUGUUUCCUCUCAGGACUGUGUUACAUUAGUUAAAUAAUUCCAUUUUGUUAUAAGUUCAAGUAAUUAAUUUAGGUUUUGUUUACAUUUUUGAAUCAGUAAUGUGUUCUGCACUAUUGAUGUGAUUCAGUAGCAUGGUUUAUUUGUUAUGCUUGAUUUCUCUUAAGCAUAUUUUCUGUUGUUAAUCCGUAGUUGGUAUUUUAGGUUUGGAUUUGUAAUUAGUUUAAAUUUGAUUAGUUUUUACUUGUUUGGAUUUUCUUGUGUUGCCUAGUUUCAUACUGAUUUUAUUAUGGUUAAUUGAUUAGUUGGUUUGAUUGUUAAUGAUAAUUGUAAUUUGAAAUUCAGUAGUUAGUUUAGAUUUAAGAUUUUGGUUUGAACCUUGUUUUAGCUAAUUUAAUUGUUGAAUAGUUGCUUAACCAUGGUAAGGUGAAACUAAGGGGUUGCGUUUAAUUGAUAUAGAUCAGUAAUUUCAGACAAAUAAAUCGGUAGUUCAGGGAAUCAUAUUUAAGGAAUCUAGCAAUAACUGAAAUAGAACUUCCUAGAAGCUUUUAGAUGGGGGUUCUAAGGCAAAAAUUAGGAAUUAAGGGUAUUAACUUGAGAAACAAGUCAGAAAGUUAGGGACUAGUUAGUUAAAAUCUGAAACUAAAAGAGGGACUAAAAGAAAAAUAGGAAAAUCUGAGGGCUACCCUCAUUUUGCCUAUAAAAAGGCAUGACUAGUGCCUUAGUGAACAACGAUCAUAUCAUUCUAUAAAAAAAAUCUAUAUGUAUAGAGAGAUCCCCUAGAUAUACAGAUAGAAUAGAUGUUCAUGGAUAGACAGACAUUCCAUUGAUUCUUUGUUUUUGGGCUGAAAAAGCUCGUCGAUCCAAAUGAAUCAUUCUUCUGGUCUCUCUUCGCUCCCCACCCCGAAACUGACCCACGGCACAGCGCCCAUUCGCUUCGCGCGCGGGAAGGCAACGAAGUUCAGUUCAUGAGACCGCAGCGCAGCGGAGUGGAGCAGCCGCGACACGAAGUUCCUUACCUUAGCUGGAUCUCGCUGGUGCCACCUAAACGGUAGGUAGGCGGCGGAUGUGUGACGUUUGGAGUUGUCGUUCGUGCACCUGUCCCCAAUGGAAGAAUGAGUGAUCUGUUCCCCUGCGGAUCAUGGCCUUACCACUCGGUCCCCGAUGGCCAGCGGGGGAUUCGGUAUAGCAGCUCAGGUUCGUUUGCGCUGCGCGUUCCCGCUGGACUGGACACAUGUUAGCUGUAGGAAGUAUGGUUCCGAAAGUGACUUCGGUUCGCCAGUUCAGGCUCAA
rnacentral:lncRNA from 1 species